UAGUAGCAUGUAAAAAUUUUGAGGUUGAAAUCGAAACACGUGGGGCUAAGAGCCAUUUUGUUUCAAUCUUCCUACAAUACCACGUGAGAAGGUACUAGCCGUGGUGACUGCCUGUCUCUCCUUAUUAAGACCCAUCACUUUCUCUCUUGGGCAUGUUGGUCUCAUCUUCCUUAACUCGUAGUAGUUUUUAAUGCCCCUUAAUUAAUACUAACUAAUUAGUUAACUAAAUUAUGGGUAAGGUCUUUUACUACUUUGGUUUGGGGGGGGUGACAUUCAUAAGCGAUGAGGUUAGAAUUUCAAAGCAAACUUUGUGGAGCGUAUGUCUCCUUCUAAUGCUACAACCCACAUAAAUCAAAUCUCGGGGUUGACAAUAGAUUACUACUAAAUGGUUUAUCCGUUUGAUGAGAAUGUUGGUGCUAUGUGUCAACAUUUGGUUGGAUUCAUUUAGACUUUCUAUUAGUUAAAAUUCUUAAGCACACAAUUUUAUAUCUUCUCUCACUACUAAUCUAUACCAGGUGCCGUUUCUCCCCCUUCAUUUUGCUUUUGACGAUAGACAUUAACCUACAGAAUUUCUCUCUUAGCCAAGCAGAUUGUCAUAUAAAUGGGUUCUAGCUAACUAAUGACCCAAUUUGUUGCCCGUUCUAGGAAUUACAGUAAAUAGAGAUUGACUAAGACUUGAGCUCAGCUUCCUGAUGUCCAUGACAGUGAAGGUUGGCGGAUUAGAAAGUCUAUUUUUUUUUAAAGAAAAUAUGAAUAUUCUAUUAAUGAGAAUUAAUAAAUAUAUUUUAAUAUAAAAAAUAAAAAUAAAUAUCAAACGUUAAGAAAUAUAAAUAAAUAAAUCUACUUAUAACAAUCAUUAAUCGUGUUGACGAAUCAGUAAAUUGCAAUUCUGCGGAACGAACGCUCAACUCGAUGGUGCUAAGCCACAUAUUGAUUUUGUAGAUAUCUUUUGACGAGCUCGAUUGUGUGAAAGUCAGACUUAAUUUUUUUUUUCACCACUCUUAUAGAAAAAAUACUUAACAUUUAUAUAAUGGAUGAUCAUAAAACUCCUAUAGAAGAAUUCAAAAUCCCUAUAAUGAAGGAUCAUAAAACUCCUCAAAAAAUACUAAUAUUUAUUUAUUAAAACUAAUUAAUAAUAAAAAAGGAACUACCGCCGAUCGAAAAAUAACUGAUGGUGGAUCAAAAGAUGAAACUUCAACAAAGAAUUAAAAAAAAAAAAAAAGAGCCGGCUAGAGUUUAUAGAUUUUAUAUAAGUCUAUUUGUAUCAUAGUGUGAAGGACAUGAAUUUAAAAGUAAACUCAUUCAUACGUAUUAUAUAAUAUUAAUUUAAUUAAUUAUAUCUAGUUUAAGCGGUACAUUCUCAGAUAUAGUCUGUAAACUAUAGAAAAUAAAACUAACAAUCCAAACUGAAAGUUAAAUUUAAAAGUAAAUUCAUCUAUUACUUGCAGUAAAAAACUAGUGGUAGUUUUAAAAUUAUUUAUUUCUAUUUGAUGCUGUAAGAAUGAUGGAACCGUUGAUGUAAUUAACAAAAUUAUUAUUGAAUUUAAUCGUAUGUUUAUUUAUAUAUUAUUAAUUAUAUAAAUUAUAAAAUGUCAAAAUGUAACAGACGUAUUAGGUAAUAUGUAAAUGUAGUGUAGAUAAAGAUUAACAUAAUUAAAACUGGGUAUCAUCUCAUCAGUUCACGGAGUUAAUGUGGAAAGAUGGUUUGGGGUUGAAGGCAGGUAGAUAUCACAGAACAAACAAACAGCUUUUUGAGGCUAUACCUUGUGAGUUGUGACGUAAAUGAUGAAUGAAUGAGAUGUAAAUGUGAGAUAAAUCACGUGCCAUCAUUUUCAUUACCAAAAAAAAAAAGCUAGUAAUUGAACAAGGAAUUGAAAUUAUUGACUAAUGCACCAACCGUAGCUAGGGAGAAUGACGAAUCGUUGGCUAUGUAAAGAAAAGAAAUAAAGGAAAUAAGAGAAAAAGGUAGGGUAGGACUGUGGGGCGCAUCAAAAGCCAAAAGCAAUGAAAGGAAAAAACAAGGCAAAAGCAAAGGGUUAGCUUAGCUGCUUUUGACCUCUUUUAUCUUUCUACAUUCGUAUCUUACAUUGCAUUUUCAAUCUCCUAAUAGCUGCUUCCCUCCCCUCAAAAAGGGCCCCUAAAAAGUAAAAAGGAUUUUUAGGCAAGAGUACAAAAAAAACCCACUAACUAAGAAAGAAAAAAGAAAAUUGUGCUUUCAAAGAAUCCUUUGCCCCUUUACCUAUCAACUUUUUCUCCAUACUUAUAUGCAUGUGUACACAUAUAUAUAUAUAUAUCCUUGAUUGAUUGAAAGAGUUGGAUGGCCAGUUCAGGGGCCAAUAAAAAUGGAAUAGAAUAGAAAAGAACAAAGAUAAGCGUUAGAUAUUACUACUUAUUAGGGGGAGAGAGACAUGCAGAACAUUUUACAUGUCUUUUUCUUUAAGAAAAUUACAUCACUAACUUUGUAUUAACAAGAUGAUGAAUAAUUUAAUGACUAAUGAUCUUCCCUGUUUUGAUCAUAAAUAUCCUAAAUUUCAAUUACAAACCAAAGGAAAGACGACAAACGCAAAUAAUUGCCGGAUCUACGGACAUUCAAAAGCAAACACUAUCAGCCCCCCCAAAAAAAAACUAAAAAAGUACCCAAAAGAGAAAAAAGAAAACCCCGUUUUUCUUUCCCUCCCGCUCUUCAUAUCAUUCUUCCAAUUCAUUAAUAUUUUUCUCACUGUCGUUUUGCAGCAGAAGUGACGAAUUGAAAUCGGACUUUACAUGCACUAAUUGAUCAAAAUGAAGAGAAUGAAAGAUAGAGAUAUACAUGAUGCUCCUCUUCUUUUUAUAUAUAUGAGCCCUGUUUUCCUCUUUCAUGUCUCCCCUUGCGCAAAAUGGCCUUCAAUUCUUUUGCUCCUUUUCAAAACCCUUAUUAUAGAAACUCGAACAAACCUUGGCUCUUAAUGGCUGCAUGAUCCUUAUAUCAGGGCAUUCAACUAAUCUAAAAGAAAACAUUUUUUUUAGCUCCAAGAAUCUUGGAACCAUUUGGCAAAUUUCUUUCUAUUGGCAAUCUUCUUCUUUUAUGCCGGAUAAUCCUCCUCUACUACCAACACACACAUAUAUAUAUAUAUAUAUAUAUAAUUUUUUUUUUCUGCUGCAGUCAAUGCAGGUCUAUAUGCCAUGUGUGACACACUAUGAUCAUCAGCAAUCAAAAUCCUCUUCGUUCCUGCUCAUCACAAUCCAAGAAGGAUGUAGUAGACAAGAGUAAUUGGCAAAGCUAUCAACAUCCCAAAGAUAACCCUGAGAAAACAUAAAAAUCAACAAGUAAUCAUAUGGUUAUUGUUUUAACUCUAAUGAGACAGAAUCACAAAUCGAGUUGUAACUUAGCUUAUUAUUUUACUUACGCAGUGCUAAGAAUGGCUGGAUGGACAUUGUACUCUUUAGCAAACACAAAUGGAACAAUUCCUUGUGGUAGUGCAGCCUGUUACAUAACAGAAAAACAUGCUAAUUAAUUACUUGAGUCUAAUGAACCAAAAAACAAAAAACAAAAAACAAAAGUGGGCGUAUAAUCAACUUUAACUAUAUGAAAAGAUAGUCGAAUAGUUAAUGUGAAAGUGACUUCCACCUGAACAAUAGCGAUGCGGAGGAGGGUACCACGCAGGCCAACAGCGAUUGAAGCUGCAGCCAUCACUGCAGGACCAGUAAGGAAUCGGACAGCCAUUGCAAAUGCAGCUACUGAGUUCCCACAUGCAAUUAUCUUCGGUUGUAACGCCAUAAAAAGACCUUCAUUUUUCACCAUAAUAACAGCAAGUCAGUGUUCCCGUCCCAGUUUAUAUAUUUUAUGAAUAAAAUUCCCAAUUUCAACAAUCUUCAUUGAAACAAGCCGAAAUAGGGAGCUAUCACAACUGAUCCCCACCGACCCUGGACCGCAAAGGAAACCGGUCCCAUGUGUCGGGUGGUCAAUCCAUUUUAUAGUCCACAUAGACCCAACCCCACUUUUAUUUCUUUAGAUGAUCACAAAAGAAUUGGAUGGCUAUGAGCUGUGAAUUUCAUAAACUUAACUUUACACAAUGUAGCCAUCACCGCGUACCAACCUUAUUGAUACCCUUCCAGACUAUGCUGUGGUCUAAAAAUUGCCACACUUGACUUCAUUUCUUCUCAUAUUUCAUAAUUGACAUGCUUAUUUUACUUCUUGUUAUUAGAUUGUAAAUCCUAAUCAACUAACUUGGCAAAAACUCGACAUCGUCAGUUACAUGUUACAUGUGUUCUUUAAUUGCAUUAAUUAUCUAACCUUAAUGUAAUUCUGGGAUUCAAAUUUAAAAUUAGUAGAAGAAUUAUAGUGCCACUUACCUAAGCUGAACAUAGCCAUUCCAAGACCAGCAUCUGACAGUAUAGAGAUUGACUGCUUUAUUAUUGCAGGCAUAGCCACAUCCCAACUGCAAUAAAUCAGUAACAACCCAAAAGAAAAACAAAAAAAUCAGUCAUAGUCAAAUCUAUAUUUUUACUAUUCUCAUACGGAUAAUGUCAAUUUUAUAUACUAAUUCACUCACCGAAAAGCAAUUAAAGACCAAACCAGGCCAAUAAGACUGGAGUAUGUGUUUGGGUUCCUAAUUAGUUUGCGCCAAACCAUUAUCAAUAUCAGACGAGUCAUCACACUAGCCGGUGGCAUUUGUUUGUUGACACCGGUUUCUGGUGCUCCGACUACUUUUGGGUGGAGUUCGGCGGUUGAGCUGGACCCCAGUUUAUUAAGUCCAGUGGGUCCAUCUUUUUCUCUCUCAUCAUCUUCUCCAUCACCUUUACCAGCAAAACUAAAGUCCUCACCAGGAAAAUCUCCAGCAUGUGCAAUUGCUUUCACAUUACAAACCAAAAUAAAGUCGAUUUUUAGACUAAGAUAAUCAAAAGAAUGAAAUGCUUAAUUUAUUUCAUUAUUAAAUUGAAAGUCGAAAAUUACACGCCAAUAAGCUUUAGCUACCAAUUAGUACUGGAGUACUGCAAUUUACCUUUUUUUUUUUAAGAAAAAAUUAAAAAGUUGAAAGAAAUUUAUACCUUUUGUUUCCCCAUUCUGUGGGUGAUCAGCAACUAACAUCCUGAUCUCUUUGGCACCCUGAUCAGACCGGCCAGAUUGCUGCGCCGCUCCGAAAUCAUUCCCGCCAAAUACAUCAGAGACGGGAGACGCACUAGAGCUCCAUACAAACAUAUGCAGCUCUUUAGCAUCAUGGUUUGUUUUGUUAUUCUGAUUCUGCUGCUGCUGUUGUUGCUGUAGUGGUUGCUGCUGCUCCUGCUGUUGCUGAUUCUUGGUGUUUUUGGUAGAAGAAAACUCCGGAUUCGGCGCUGGAUAAGACGUAGGCACAGUCUGUGCAGGAUAAAAUCCGAAUCUAGGAGAAGAAAUUGUAGCCAUUGGAGCACAAUUUUCUUCAAAAUUGGAUGGACGAGGAGUAGGACCUCUAGAAGAUUGUACUGAGUACAAAUCAGCCGGACCGAAAUUCGAUAGCCUACCGCCAGGAAAUCCUUGCACACCCAUCAUAUUAUAGAAAUCAGAGGUGUUAAAGUUCGACCCUCUUGGAGUAGGAUUUCGCGACGAACUCAAACUAUAAAUCUCAGCACCAGUAAGAUUGGAAGGACGAGGAGUCAAUCCAGAAAAAGAACCAGGGCCUAGAGAUCUCCUGGAAGCAUUAGACUUCCUUACAGUAACAUGUAACUUCCCAUCGUUACCAAUUUCAGCAUCAGUUUCCAAGAAAUCUCUUCCAUCUAAAGAGACAACAUCAGAAUCCACUUUAAACGACACAAUGGAAGCAGCAGUUUCAGGAAAUUGCUCCAUAAUCAACAUUUUAGCACCUCUGUACUCAAAAAGGAACAGCAAAAGCGUGUACCAAAUAAUACACUGCAAUACCACAACUUGAACCAUAAGGCUACCGGCGUACUUAUCAUACAUAGCGAUUAACAAAGGGAUGCCCAUGACAAGAGUAUUAGGCAGUGUUGACAAUGAGAAAAUAGUAAUCAUCCAUUCCAAACUUCCAUUUUUAGUAAGAUUAGUCCAGAGACCAAGGGCCACUAGCAUUAUAAUCUUCUGAAGAGUAUCGGCGGCGAUAAACCUCAAAUUCAUCUCGUAAGGAUUAUUAGUUGAGAUGAAGUGAAAGGACAAAAGUGGAACAGCAAAAAUGGCAACGAACCGGUUGAUACCGGAACACUGGUCAGGGCUGAAUAUUUUCCACCACCGUACAGAGCCAUAGGCUAAGAUCAUGGCGACAUAGAGCGGAACCACCGCUGUUAGAACGGUGUAGAGAUCCUUCCCGGUAAUCAUUGGGAUGGAUGGAUGGAAGGGCAAAAUGGGAAAAGAAGAAAAGAAACCGUUAACUAACUAACUAAAGAGAAAUGCUCUGCUGCGACAGAGGCUUAGGUCUGCAAGCAACAACUAUUACUGGUUUCAGAUAUGUCUCUAGAGAGAGUGAGCGUAAACCAAAAAACAAAAAAAUAAAGAAAAGAAGGGCUCUAGUAUAGAAGCAGAGGGAAGAGAGAGAGAGAGGAGAGUGGGAUAUAUAUAGAGGAAGGAUUUGAGUGGCGUGGUGGAAGUAGAAGAAAUCAAAGUUAACUGGUUGAUGUGGUUCGAGUUAACUAGAAAGAUGGGUUAAGUGUGUUAUAUAAUAUAGGCUUGCAGAUUAUGGUUUUCUUUUCUUUUACAGGUGGCAGUUGUCAUGUGGACAUUGAAUGACGUGGACUUUUCUUUAUUUUUUUGAGUUUAAUAUUCUUGUCUACGUCGAUAAGCUGAGUAAAAAGGUGGUCCAAUUUGAAUUUUGUAGGAGGCCAGUAUCAUGGCAACAAUGAUUUUUACCCCUGUCACAGCAAAGUGACAUUUUAUCAUUGUUGUUGUCCUUAAAUUAGCUACUUUUUCUAUUUACUCCUUAUAGGAAAAUAAAUACCAACCAAUUUAUUACAGUAAUUUGGAUAUAGUCACUGGAAGAGUCCAAUUAGAGGCUGUCCUGAAGUUUCAACUCUGGCUUGUGGAUCACUGUUUGCUACUAAUUAUUAUUUUCAAUUGACUUUGAAGUGGAUAUGUGCCUUUUAACUAUUUCACCCUUCACAUUAAUUUUAAGGCUGUAUUUUCGCAUUUAAUGUAUAUAUUCAGAACCUAUUACUUAGAUGCGGACUAUAAAAAUUAAAUCAGAAGAUUAAACUUACUAAUCACUCCACCCAAUUCCUCGUAAUUAUUGAUUAUAUAUAGAUUUUUAUUAGUAAUCUUUUCCAAGUAAUCGAUAUGUACAAACAGAAAGUAGGUACGGGAGUUUAGAAGCAUAUAUAGGGUGAUGGAGCAAUUUAUUAUUAAGAGUUUCCCUUUUUAUUUUUUGGAAAAAAGAAAUGAAAGCAUGAUGUGAUGUAAAUAGUAGUAAUAGUGUAAUAUGCUACGACGCUUCAUUGGCUUGCAAAUCGCAACAUGUGUUGAGUUAGGUGCAUUGAAGUGAUGCAUUCACUGCUGAGUAGUUGAAUUUUAUGCAGACCUGUGUGGGUUUGACCCACAACUCAGAAAAAGUGCAGAUUCCUCCAUUAACUUAAAUUAGCCCUUUUCUCUUUUCUCUAUUUAAAGAAUAAAAGGUCAAAAAAAAAAACCCCAACCUCCUCUACUUUGAUUGUUAAUUUGUUAUUGUCAUUGCUGUGGCCAAUUAACCAGAGAUUCUGCCUAAUUUUAUAUUAGCCAUGAGCUUCGAUUGUUCUCAGGUUGCGUAACCUAUAUGUCAUAUUAAUUAGUGUAAUUAUACAUGUCCACAUUUUGAAACGCAUGAUGUAUAUAUAUAUAUAAUGUUAUCAUAAAUUAAUGAAAAUACAAUACAUUUGAGAACAUAUAUUUAUAGAUGGCCGUUUUGUGAGAAAAAAAAAGAUGAUAAAUAUGAUAAUUAUAUAACAACAAGGGUAAAGUCACUUUUUAUUAAUAUUAUUUUAUAUCAUUCUGACAUAUGAAGAGCAAAAGUUGAGCAGAAAACUUUUGUGGGAAAAAGACAUAAGACAGCAGUAAUCUAUUAUUAUGUCCUUACAGAUGCAAUUCCCUCCACAAACAACAAUUCUGAUAAAAACUCCCACAAUUAUUAAGAAAUUUCAUGUAAGCAUAAAAGGAUAAAACUGAUACUGUAUAAGGGGAUUAAAUAAUUGACUGAACCUUCAUGAAUAAUUAUGUACUCCAAUCAUUUUCUAUACUUUUGCAAAUUCUUCUCCUAUCUCCUUCAAUUCCUUGCUUCCUGGGUUAAUUUCUUUUUGCUUUUAGUCUUUUCUUCUUGUAUGCUUAUCAUCAAUCCCAUGCAUUUGAAUUAACCUUUUUAUGUUCGAUUCUUUCAUUUAAUCUUUAGCAUCACAUAAUUAUUUGAAUAGAGUUUCCUUCCCAUGGUAAAGGCAUAAUAAAAGAAAUUAAGUCACAAGGGGGAGGGGGUUUCCAUGCAGGAGGGAAUCAUUGAUAAAAUAUUAGAAUUAUAUUUAAGAGUUCAUGCAUCUAUUUCCUCUAACAGAUUUUCUUUUGACUAUAUAUAAUUAAUAAAACAUGCUCUUUUAUAUAUAGUCACUAACAAGUGAUUGCAUGAUUUUAUGUAUAUAUAUUUAUAUACACAGGUCCUUUUCAUUCUGACCAUAUGGAAAAUGAUUAGUCAUGGUUGCGUAGAAGCAAAAAACUUAUUACUUCCCUUUACUACAACUUUGUUCUAAUUACUUUCAAAUCCUUAAUUAUUCUGUCUUUGGUUAAUGGAUGAGGUUAUGAGGUCCGGUAUUAGAUUAAAUUUGCACCAAUUAAUAUCGAUUUCAAUUAAUUUUGUUAAUCACAUCAUCAAAGAAGGCUUACAUUUUAAAUAAGGAUCUUAAUAAAGGCUACUCCGAAUGGUAAGAAGAAGUAUUAGGUUUUUUCAUUUUGUUAAAUCAAAAUUUGAUACUUUUAAAAAGUAUUUUAAAUUUUUUUUUUCCUAUAGCUAUGAAAUGGGCCUUUAAAAUUAUAUAAAAAUAUAUAUAAUUUAAUUUGAUUUAUAAACUAAUUUCAAAAUCCCUUACUCUUUAGAAACAUUUUAAGAAAAAGAAAAAGACGUGUAUAUAUAUCCCAUAAAUAUGUAGUAUUACAAAAUACAAAUAUGCUUAUAUAAUAAUUAAUUAAUUAAAUGGGAUCUGUUUUCUAAAGAGAAAGAUUAUGAUAAUUAUUAGCCAUAUAUACAUAAGCAUGUGAAGCGGGAGAUAAUUAAUCAAAUAAAGAGGAAGUGUUAUUUACUGAUAUAUAGAAGUGCAAACUGCAAAGUAGAGAGAGAGAGAGAGAGAGAGAGAGAGAGAGAGAGAGAGAGAUGUUGAACUAAUCAUUUGGAAAACAAUAUAUCAUCGGGAAACAAGUUUCUGAGUUAUAAACAUCAGUCGCAUUCACAUACCUAAAAUAUCAGUCCCUUUUCUUCCUCUAUGAUUGAAUACAUGCAUUAUCAUGUCAUAUAAAAGCAACAUCUUUUUUCUUUUUUUAAUUUUUCUUUUGGAAAAAAUUUCAAAAGAAAAAGUUCUGAGAUAUCAGUUAUAAACUAUAUGGGCAUGCUGCCCUCAGGAAUCUACUGUUUAUACAGUAUACUAAUAAUGCUGUGCACCCAUUAAAUUAAAGCCAAUCUCUCUCUCAUUAUGAAAUGGUUUCUAUAUGUCAUAGGGUUGUUAGGUUCAUUCCUAAUUGAUACCAGCAGCUUAAUAAUUAAACUUGAUUAUGUUGUUUUUUAAUUAAUCAUGAUAGGCUAACAGCUCCAAGUCAUUUGUAAAAUGUAACACUUUAUAUAUUAUGAUUAAUGUGUGUCCAAUUAUAUCCAUAUAAAUAUCAUCUAAUCCGCUUCAUCGAGUUUGUAUGUAAUUACAGAAAGUAAAAAAAUCUUAUUGUAUAACUUUUAAGGUUGGGGCUACAUUUGAUGAAGAAGGAGAUGGAAGGUGGCUGCUUGGGGGGGAUGGUACAGUACAAGUGAGAGGAUCAGUAACAAAUUAUUCAGUGACCCAUAAUGCCAUGCUUCGGUAUAUGCUCUCUGAUCUAAGUGUACAUUACACAUACAUAUAGUUGAUUCGAUCAAAGGCCAGCAGUACCUCAGCUCCAUACUAAAAGCAUCGAAAGGUUUCUAUCCAAUGAUUGGGGUCCAUGUGUACCUGACCACUAAAGCAAAACAAUCCUGUGAGGAAAAUAAGCUAUCAUGCUGACAAGUGGCAUUGCACAUGCACAAUUCAAGCUUUUAUAAUUAAAGGGCCACCACACACGUGCACAUCUCUGCAACUGGGGAAAUGCUCGCAGACUCUAAACGCCAAAACUAACCCUAUCUCCUUCUUUCCCCUCGCCAAUUACCAAACUGUGAAAUGGAGUCGCUGCCAUGUCACAUUAAAUAUUCAUUUUGAAUCUCUUUUAAUUAAAAUAAAAAUAAAAAUCAAUAUAACCAAAGCUCGUUUCUUUAUAUUUUAGACCAUAUGGUAUUAGUCUUUAUAAAGUCAUCAAAUUAUGCCCAUUUCUUGCUCCACUUCUCUACCACCAAAAUCAACCAAAAAAAAUAUUAACUGAAAAUACAUGCAUGUCAAGUCCAUUGCGUUUACCUUUAUUUAUUAUAUUAUAAUACAUACAAUCAUGUUUCUUGAAAGAUUGAUAAUUAAUUCAAGUUAAUUAAUUAUUUUGUUUAUGGGCAGAAAGUAUUCUUGCAAAUGUAUGUGUCGGAAAUUUCAUUAGCAUCAAUGUGUGCAAUAUAUACUUUAAAGGAUUUAGAUUAGAUUUCUUUUCAAUCUCUAUUGUCCCCAUUUCAUUGUUGCUAGCAGAUGCCUCUAUGUGUAUAAUUGCACAAAAACAUGCAAAAGAAAAUAGAACUCUUUAUCUUCAACUACAGCACCUCUUUAUCAAUAUCUGUUAAAAAUUUCUCUUCCAAUAUAAAAUGUUGUUUCCAUCAUGUCUAUGUUAUCUAGAAACCUAACCACUGUCUAAUCACUUUGAUAACCUUGGAUCCUUGUCCGGAGAUGUUUGUGCUUAAACUUCUUUCCUUUUGUCCAUUGAUACCCAAUGGGAUUAUCUAGUUUUUUCUCUUUUGCAUUCUCUCAGUCGUUUUCAUAUAUAUAUAUAUAUAUAUAUAUAUAUAUAUCAAACAAAUGAUUUUUAUAUCCAUUAAAUAUAUAUACCAUAAUAUAUAAAAUGAAUAAUAUAUAUUUUACAUUCUGACAUCGAAUAAUUGACAAAUAUUCAAUGGUCUAGUAUAUUAACGAGAACACACAUCUAAAAUAGGUAAAAAAUUCCAUUUCCAAGCAGUAACUUUUGGAAAUAUUUUCAUACUCAUACAAGAAUCUUCUGUUGUUUUUCUUUUCUUUUAUUAUUGUAAUCUGUUUGCUAAAUGUAAAAUGUAAAAUGUAAAAUUAAUUCAUUUCCCAUGAAUAAGGGUCAAACAUGUAGAUAAAUAAUUUUGAUUGGAGAAUUUGUGAUAAACAGUUAUUGUUGUGCAAAAAGGAUGGCUGAGAAAGGAAAGAUAAAAUAGAAAGAAAGAAAGCAUCAAGCCCAGGUUUUGAGUGGUUCGAAGUGGCUAAUAUUGAAUGUUUUUGUGCAACCAAAAUUAGAAAAGUUUUUAUCUUUUAUGCGAUUUAAGACACAAGUAAAGUUUUUAGGGCAUGUGUGAACCAAAAAGACAGUAACUUGUUGGCCCAUUGGGCCUCUUCCCCACCACCACCACCACACACGCAUCCCCAUAUGCCAAAGCUCUCUCUCUCUCACCCUUUUCCUAUGCAAAUAAAAAAAACAUGAAUAAAAGCACAACAUUAGAAUGAGCACACUAAGUUCACAUGAGCAGCACUCCAGCCCUAAAAAUUAUUCAAAACCCACCUCAAAAAUUAAUUGCAUGAUUUCAUUUCUAAAUCUGAUAUAUUCUAACUUUUCUCAGAUACUUAGAUGAAAUGACCUUGACUAAUAAGAUGAGUUGUCAAUUUAACAAUGAUCAUAGCCCCCCACACCAUCUUUGCCUUUUCUUUCAUGCUAUACUUUAUCUGUCCCUUUCUCUCUUUUCCCAUUCUCCUUAGCUCUCCUUUGGAGAGGAUAAGGUACCAAUUUCACACCCCAUGUUAAUCUUUUGGCACUGAAAGGGUAAGGAAAAACAUAAACAAAAGCUUAAAUAGAGAAUUUGUUUUGGACCAUGUUAUAUGGGGUUUCAAGUUGGUGCCGGAGAGAAGUUACUCAUGAUGGAUAUCAAACAAUGUGGUAGGGUUUUGCAACCCAAAAUGCAUGAAUGAACUUUUACAACAUAUUCGUCAAAAACAUAUAUAAUUGUAAAUCCACUUUCUUGAUGGUAGCUUAUAUAUAUCUUUAGCCUUUCAAUGCACAGAAAGCGAAAGACUAAUGACAUAACAAUACAAAUCGUAUCUUAUCUAAAAAUAUAUAUUUAUAUUUCUAAAAUUAAAAAUAAUACUGCUGCUAAAAUUAAAUUUUUAAUUUUAUUCGUUAUAAGAUAGAUACUCAACCAUUAAAAGAAAAUUACUCCCUAAAUAUAUAAAUUAAAAAAAAAACUAAUUAGCAUAGCAUUCAACUCUUAGGAGAAAUUCAGCACUUGUAAAAGAAAAAGGAAAUCUAAUUUUGAUAAGAAUUUUUUAACUCGAGAAUCAAAAUCUUUAGAACACCCAAAAUAGAAACACCUUGUUAGCUGUGAACAUUAUUAUUCUAAUGGAGGAACCCAUGCUUUUUUUUUUUUUCUUUUGGGAAGGAACCCAUACUAUUCUAAUUUAUCUUUUUUGUUAAUUAAUUUCUUCUUUAUUAUUUCCAGAUUUAAUUCUUGAUACUUGGGGCCCGUUAUUAUUUGAAGCCCACCCCUUAAGGAAUUUCCUCAUUCUUUUUAUUGGGCUUAGUACAUUUUCUUUGCACCAAGACGAAAUCGAAGUGGUCCUUCCUCCUUUUCAAUUUCCUAAGGAUAGCUUAACUAUUUUCUUUUUUCCAUGCAAUUGUCCUUAUUUUUUCUUUUCUUUUUCAACUUUUUCCCCUCGUUAUCAACAACCCACUUAGAAGUAGACACAUAACUAAGAGAUUAUAGUGUUUGAUCUUGUCAUUAUAUUCAUUUUAAUCUUAAUCAAUCUUUUCCUAACAAAAAAAAAAACUUAAUUAAUCUUGGAAUGAUCGAAAUAAGAUAUAUUCACAUGCACAUGGAUAAUUAAACCACCGUUGUUAGUUUGACACGUGACUAUUAGAUUUGUCUCAAUCUUAAGCCGUGACUAAAUUAAACUAAUAGAUAAUGUUAUCUUAGCUAGAAUGAAUCAAUUAAUUAUUUGGUUAUGAGGAUCAUAAACCUUUCAAACACCAAUAAAUUAUGCAUUGGAAGUAGGUUUCGUGUAUAUUGGGUUGUUUAAUUAAUUAAACAUAAUGGACUGCUACAAAGUACAGACUUCAAAGCAAAUGCCAUCUUGUGAAAGAACAUUCUUUUCAUAUUGUGUCACUUACUUUCCUUAUCAUAAUAGUAAUUGAUAAAAAUAAUAAAAGAAAAAAAAAAAAGAACCCUUCAUGCAAUUUUAAUUAAAUUUGCAUCUCUUUCUUCUCUCCAAAAGAAGGAGAAAUUUCCAAAACCCAGAUAAGGUUUAUAAUAUUCAACAAUCUAAUCCUUUUGGAUUUUCAAUUACCAACUUCAGAAUUUAGAGAAUUGAAAAGAAAAGUUAAAAGAAGCAAACAUAUUUAAUGAAUUCUUGGAGACAUGUUGGUUUUGUGUUUUGCAAUAUAUAUUAGGGUUGGGAAGGAACUCCUUUGACGCCAAUUUUUUUAUUUUUUUUGAAUCUUAUAGUUAAUGUUAUGUCGCAAUUAAGAAGUACAUUCAUGACCAGGCAAUUUAAUUUUAUUUUUUAAAUGAAACACACAAGUCAGUUAAGAGCCCCCAUGUGCUUUCGUUUAUUUAGUACUGUUGGUGAAUUUACUGUAAAUGUUCGGUUGGGAGGGAGUUUACAUAAUACAUAUUCAAGUGCUCACAAUUGUUAUCAAUCUGUCGUAAAAUAAAUAAUAUUAAACUCUUGUUAUAUGAUUCAGCAACAUAAGUAUUCCACCCUUCACAUAUUUUCUUUUUUUUUUUAAUGAGAUUACAAAUAAGUGAGACUAACAACCAAAUUAAAGCACCAAUUUAGAAGGUCAAUUUUGGAGGCCCCAUAUUUGAAUCUUUUCAUUUAAAUCUAAAACAAAGGUGGCUGCGUAUGUCGAUCAGAAGGGCAGCAUCGUUGCUCCCUCCUUUCUCCUUGUUGAUGUUUACUAAGUUAAGUGUUGACUAUGGACAUAACUCUUCCUUGAUUAGUCACUCUUCUCUGCCGACAUUGAAUCAGACCAUUCAAAUUCAUCAUUGCUUCAAUUCUGUUCUAAACUACAUCCAUGCUGGUUUUUAAAUAGGAAUAACUUUUCUUUUUCAUUAUUUGUUUUUCGGGUUCUAUAGCAGGGCAGAUCGAUGCUAGAUCAGUACGAACGUGCUUAUAGUAGUGUAUAUAUUGCUUGCAACACUUAAAAUAAUGUCCACUCUAUAAAGAUAAAAUUAGGGCUCUCAUCUUUUACGUUGAAUAGCUAAGAUAAUCCGAAAAGUUUAAUUUAUUUUAUGUUUGAUUCAAUUUUUUAAGGAAAGAAGGAAGAAAGGAACACUCGUUUGCUACAUGGAAGUAGAAAUGGCAAUAAUUAAGCACCCCGCUCAUAUAUCAUAUAUUAAAGAAAGUUUUUUAAUGACAUUAAGCCGGAGAAGUUAGAUUUUCCGGGUAUGUCCUACAAAACAUAACAUUAAUGGUAGGGGGGAGGUCCAUGUCUCGGACAGGAUCAAGGAGUGCCAUUUUGGUCUUAUAUGAAAGAGAGGGGAAGUUAGCUUUCUCACACUUUCUUAGCUGUUGCCUCAAAAGAAUGAAUUGUCUGAUUUAUAUAUGUUCUUGUUCUAGUAAUAGUUUUGGCUGUUUUCCCCUAUUUUCCCACUUAUCUCCAGCUCAUGAUUUUGCAGGAAUGUUUAAGUUAGGACACUCCAUGAAUCUUUAAGGUUCUUGGACUAUCUCAACAUGUCUUCCAUACAAAUACAAUUUAGCAGACAAAUAUGAAGCUUCCAAUGAUGUGCUUCUGUUCAUCAUGGCCAUAGACAAAUAUUACUAGGUUCAAUGUCCCCAGAAAUACAGAAGAUCUAUGGCCACAAUCAACACUUCUAAUGUGGAGAUUCCAUGUGUUGAUAAAAAAAAAAUACUUACUAAUAUGCGAUACGAAAGAAUAUAAUUUAUUUUGCCUAUCAAUUUCAUCACAAGUUUUCGACUUGACUCGAUUUAAUGCUAAUACUAUAAACUAUUUAAUUAUCUUUUUGAGGUUCCUAUUUAAUUUUAUUUUGAUAUUAUUUAGUAUCUUUUUCUUUCAAAAAUAUCUAUUAUCUAUUAAGUAAUAUAAAACAUUGGUUAGAAUUAUUAUUUAAUUUUAUUUUGAUAUUAUUUACUAUGUAUUACAAUUAUAUUAGAUAGUUUUGAAUUAUAUUGGUCAUUGAUAGUUAUAUUCUAACCAAUGUUUUAUGUUACUUAAUAGAUAACAAAUAUCUUUCAAAGAAAAGGGUAAUAGAUAAUAAUUAUAAUAAAUAUCAUAUAAUCAAUCGAGUUCACCUAAAAUCAUAUUUUUCCUAUGCAAUUGAGUUCUUCGAGAGAUUUAAGUUUAAUCAUGGGUUUUAUGUCUUUUUUAUCCAAUUCUAAUUUUAUUUAUCAGUUAACUGUGAUAUUUAUAUCUCUGAAUUUAUAUCGUUUAGUCAGUUUAACACUUUAACUUUCGAUUUAAUAUAAUAGACACCUAAAAUUUAUCUUUUUUAAUAUCUAAACACAUAUAACUUUAAAUUUAAUCUAAUAUGCACUUAGACGUUUUUUUGAUAAUAUUUAAAUACCUAUUUACAAUACAUAUGAAUGUAUUGAAUGAAGACACAUGUCAAAACGUAUUAAAAUAUUAUAAAAAAAGCAAUAUGAGAUAUUUGUUAAAUUAAAUCAGAAAUUAAAAAAUUAAACUGACUAAAUGAUAAAACUUUAGGGACAUAAAUAUACAUUCGGCUUUUAUUUAUCCUAUGUUCCACUGUUAAGAGGAAAAAAGGACUUAUGGGCUUGGGCUUCACCUAUAUUUUAUUUAAAUGUUGAGCUCUAAUAGGGGAAAAAUGUGCACAAACCUGCAGUUAAGUUGGGCUUGAGCUUGGGAUCUCUUUGGACCUGAAGCCCCAUAUGUUGGUUUAAUUGGACCUGUAGGCCCAUCUAUUUUUCUUCUUGAGCAAAUUGAAGACGAAGAAGAGAAUGAUGAUUCUCUCUGUUUACAUGGAAAUUUACAGGAAAACACAUUUUUUCCCCCUUGCUUUUUAUUUGUAAGCAAUAAAUUCUUGUACUUAUAUGCCUUUUGACAUUGAAUUAUUCUUAUAACAGGAAUUAAAUUAAGAAAAAAAAAUAAGUUAAAAAUAAUUUGGAAUUGCUAAUGGGCGUUAAAAAACAAGUUAAAAUAAUUUAAAUUUAACAUAUUAAUUUUCAAAAUUUUUAUGAGUUAAUUUUAUUAAAUGUAUUUUUGGAAAAUAUCAAUUUAUUUAUUUUUCUUCAAAAACAGAUUUUAAAGUCCAAUAAGUUUUCUUUUAAAAUCUAAAUCAUUAGAUAAAACCGGAUCAAGUGGGGGGUCCUAAUGAAAACAUAAUAAGUCUAGUUAAACCAUCUUGUGUAUUAAAUAAAAACUAAAUUGUGAAGGAGGAGAGAGGAGAAAGUGAGAUUUAUUUCUAUAAAACAAACCCAGAUGGAUAAGCUUAUCACUGAAAUUACAUUUUCAGAUUGCGCUUCUGAUAUUCUUUUAAAAAGAAAAUAUAUAUAUUAAUUAAAACCUUAUCACGUAGUAAUAAUUGAUAUCUAUAAAAGUAUAGUAACAUCCACCCACAAGUGAAGGAGUGGCUGGCAGUGCCCUUAAAUUGCUACAGGCCAUUUUUAGUGACAAUGGGCAGCACAAAAUAAUUGGGCUGUAAAUUUAGUGCGUGGACCAAUCACUGAUUUUGAAAUAUUGCUAAUUUAGUUGCUCAUAUCUAAAUAAGUUAAUUCAUCAUAAUGCACUCAACAAAUUAGAUGAAUUAAUCCACACUCCAGUUUGAAAAUCUCCUUUUCUGAAUUAACAACUAAUCAAUUGGUUCUCGAACAUCAUGUAAAUCAAUGUCUCUCGAAUCCAGAAAUAGAAAAAUUAAUAGAAAUGAUCCUUAUCAAGAUUAAGAGAUGGAUUAGGAAAAACAAAGCGUCUAUAUCAAGAUUAAGAGAAACCACUCGACUAAUCAAAAGGGACUUCAGAAUUGGAAUUUACUGAUAGAAACCACUCGAUUCUGGUGGUCUCUUUCAGUAGUGCCUCGGCCAACACACUCAAAAUUAAUUUCAUGUGCAAAUAUGAAUUUAGGUACAUUUAUGGCAAACUAUUAUAUAGACUCUAAAUAUACCAAAACAAUUGAGAAGUGAUUGCCCAUUGAUAUUAAAGUAGAGCUACAUAGCUUCUUUGACUUUGCCCUAAUACUUAUGUAUAUUUGUAGGGUUGAAUUCCACAAAGUCUGUAAUAACAAGGUGAACUUGUAGUUUAAGUUAAGAAGACCAUUUCCUCGUUCCAUAUUUAACCUCUUUUUUUCUCCAUUUGCAUUCACAUUGUGGAGCCCAAUCUAAUUAGAAAAUGUCACUAUCUUUCUACUUAGUUGGAAUAGAUAUUAUAAUUUUUUAUUAAAUUUAUUUAUAAAUCUAAAAUUUAUAUAUUUGGUUAUAAUAAUUAAUUAAAUUUAUAAAGUUAACUAUAAUUAAAUUAAAUUCUAGUAAGUUAUAUAGAAUUUAUAGAUGACUUUCAAUAUUAGUAAGUUAAUAUAUUUUAUAACACUAUUAAUCUUAUUAUUUUAUUUUUUUCCUCCCGCUCUAUAUAAAUUUUUAACUAAAUAAAUAUUUAAUUGAAUUCUAAAUUUAUUCCAAAACACAACAUUCGUUUCAUUUAAAUUGAAGUCUACAAUUAUUAUUUAACAUAUCAAGCAUAAGAAUUCAUUUCCAAAUAGAAAAAUAUAUUUUUUAAUAAAUUUCAACUAUCUCUCUUUAAAUAGUUAUUAUUUAACAUAUCAAAUAUAAGAAUUCAUUUGCAAGGAAAAUAAAUCCCUGGAUAAAUGUCGACCAAAAACAGCACAAAUUUUCUUCUGUUUAAUUAAGUGCUCAGUUAGUUCAGAGUAAUUAAUUGUUCAAUUUAUUCAAUAUUCCUAACCGCCUAGCCACUUAAACAAACGUAGCUGAACCAAUAAAUGAAAUAAUUUCGGAAAGCAAGAAAAUGCCAACAAGUAAAAUUAAAUAAUCCAUAUGCAGAUUUGGUACUAUAUACUACAUGUAUGUAUAUAGUACCUAUCUCGUGCAUUACGUACACUUUUUUCCUUUUUUUUUUUUUUCUUUUUAUGGUCCCUUUAUGUGUAAACUACUAUGAACAUUCCUUCAUCUAUUUUCUUUUCUUUUCUUCUUUCAAAGUAAAUUAAUCAAUCGGUGACCACAAAGACUAACAAGCUGCGGAAGAUUGACGAGAUUGGAGGGUUGGUGUCCCAACUUUAGAGGACAAGGUGGCGACUGCGGUUGUAGGGGUGGUGGCAGGGGUGGCGGUUCUGGUGGGGCCCUUGUCGAAGGCUGCGGCGGUGUUGGUGCUGGUUGUCACACGUUCACACCGUGGACACAUAGUGAGAGUUGAUGCUGGAAGAGGUUCACAACUGUGAGGUGAUAAUACAGUUGGUGGACCCACUUUCAUUGCCCUAAGCUCCUCUACUUCCCUUUGUAGCCUUCUGUUUUGCUCCGUCAAUGAUCCAAACCACCUCUUUAAAUACUCGCAUUCCAUCUCUGUCUGCUUAAGCUUGCUCCUGUUAUAUCAUUUUCAUUUUCAUCAUAAACUAUUAAUACAUGUUCCUGUAAUUAAAAAGAAAUUGAAAAUGUACACGCAUGUUUUUUUUAUUAAAAAAAAAAAAAAAAAACACCAGAGCUAUAUGUAAAUAAUGGAAACAAUGAUAAAGUUUGUAGCUUUCCUUUCAAAGCACAAAUGAUUGCUACCAUAGAGAUAUAUGUUGGUAGCCAUAAUUAAUUAAGUGCAUACGUUAUAGCCUUGCCCCCACCUCUUCGUUUGGGGUGGGAGGAUAUAGCUAGCUAGGUUACACAUUUCAUAUUCAAAUAUAUAUUCAUAUAACUGCAUUUAAUGCAAAUUUAGUCAAUAUCUGUUCUUUAUAUUAUCUGGCAUGCCAUAAAACCACCUCAACAAAAAAAUAAAAAGAAAAGAGAACAAAAAAGCAUUUUCCACCUUGAAUAUUUUUAGGGUUUUCCUUGUUCAGCUUAAAUGCCAAUUCAAAGUCCAAAAACUGCAACUCCCGUUACAGUUAUGGUAUGUAUCAUACUUUUGAAUGAUUAAUAACAUGACAAUCAAGAUUUCUUUCCAUAAUUAAUGUAAUAUGUUACAUGUAAUAAUUAGUAAUAACAUAUGAAAAUGCACUGGGCUAGCGAGUCCAAAGAAUUAAUAAUGAGUCAAAGUAACACUUAUUAGAGGUAUGAUCUGACUAGCACACGAGGCCAAGAAAAAGAAGAAUAAGAAGAAGAAACACAUGCGUCUUAAUAUACCAAAGCAUUCCAUCUUUUACGAACAGUUAAUGUUGUGUGAUAUCAUUAGCUUGAUAUUUAGACAGCCAUAAUUAAAUUGGCUAACCAAAAGGUGAGCUCAUGAACUAACCUCGUUAUUAAUUCCUCACUUAUUUUCUGAGCCAUCUGUCCCUCCCUCACGUGUCCUCUUUGUGAAACUUAUUUUUCCUUACGUUAUGGCAAAGAACUCAAACAAAAACCUUAUGUUUUCGUAUAUCUUACUUCCCUGUUUGACAUGUCAUGUUUCCUACAUAUCUUGGCAUUAAUUACAUGAACUACAACAAGUUUCUAUAUUCGUUCCAUGUACUUCUUUUUUCUCGAAAGAGUAACAUCUACACAAACUGAUUAAGAAAGAAUUGGUUAAUAUAUUUCUUGCGUCUUUGUGGAAUUGAAAUUAAUCCAAAUUACCAACCGACAUUCUCUUACUAAAUUCACCUAUUAAACUUGCAAAUUCCAAGUAACUAACACAAAUUAAAAUUCAAAUAAACUCAAUUUCAUGUUAGCAUCUUACUCCUUAUUUAAUCUACCAGCAUGUUUGAACAAUUUAGAUUUCAGUUCUGACUUCUUUUACUCUUCAACAUGAAAAUGACCCCCCACCCCAAAGGAAAAAUAGAAAAGAAAAGACUCUUUAAAGCAAGCAGAUGUCUGUGGUGCCUAAUUCUUUUUCUUUCCUUCGCCAUGAAAAUGACCAAAGCAUAUAUAUCUUUAUGAUAUAACCAAUAAUGGGUACUUUUUAUUCUAAACAAAAUAUCCAUAGGAAACAUAGCUAAUAUAGAGAAAGAUCAUUUUCUACUUUUUAUGAAGGUACGAUAUUAUAUAUAUAUACAUACGGGUAGAAUCUGAUUCAGAUUAUCUAUAUAGAUAUAGAUAUAUACUUAAAACUUUUAUGAUAUUCUGUCAACUUUGAUAUCUAUCCUAGCUACUUGCAGUCACCUUUUUAAUCCUAACUACCAACAAAGUUAUAUCAGAGAGGAUCAUGAACAUUUAGUGCCACUGAGCAAUAUCUAUGCUUAUAUCUAAGGAUUUUUGUACAGUAGUACCUGGCCCUACGGUUUUGAAACCACACCUCAACUUGUCUAGGCCUCAGCUUCAACUGCAUAGCCAAUGCUUCUUUCUGCCUCUGCAAUCACCAAAAUUAAACUCAGAAAAGUCUUUUUCUUUCUUUCUUUGUUUUUCUUUUUAAUGUAUAUAUGUAUGUAAAUGGUCUCGUAUUAGCUGUAAAGUGUCGAGUUCGAAGAAAGAGCUCAAAUGAAAAGAAUAAUAACAUAAAAAAGAGAGAUGAUUUUUGAGGUGGGUAUGUGGUUUAAUUACUGGGUUUAAAGUAUGGUGUUGCCUGAAACUUUCUUCAAGAAGGCGAGAUUGCUCUUUGGAAAGACGGAGCUUUUUACGAGGAGGACCUCCGUUAAUAUUACUUUCCUCUUCAUCUUCUAUUCCAGCGGUGAUCCAUUCUUCUUCUGCUACUCCUGCCGGUAGUUGGUUUAUGUCCAAAUCUUUAACUCCUUCACCUAUUUUCAUAAUCAACAUGAUCACACAAGAAAAGGGGAAAAAAGAAAGAAAAAAAAAAAAUCAAAACAGAAGAAUACCCAUAUAAUAGCCAUGCAAAGAAAACAACAAUAAAGGUGUAUAUAUACAUACAUGUAUGCGCAAGAAAAAUAAAAUUGAGCAGGAUAUGUAAUAAUCAAGGAAUAGUCAUAAGAAGAUUGAUCCCUUAAAAUAGAAAGGAUUAGAGCAAAGAUAUGAGAGAGAGAAAGAUAGCAGAUUUGGGUUGUGGCUUACCAUAAGAAGGAACAGAAGGAGAAGAAGCAAAGCCAGGCAUGGAUAUAGUCAACUCCAGGCUAGAAGAGCUACUGGGAGAAAUAGCCAUCAUAUAAAGAUGAAAGUUACAGCUAUCAAACUAAGUACAAGAAAGAAGAAGAAGAAGAAGAUAAAAGAAAAAAGGCUGAUUUUGUAGAAGGGAAAAGGGGUAAAGUAAUUAAAAGAAAAAAGAAAGGGAAGGAGACAAAUGAGAGACAAAGAAGAAUAUGAAACGGAGGAGGAAAAAUAAGGGUAAGCUUUGUAACCUAAAAAAAAAAAAAAAAAAAAAGGAGGUGAGCUAUAAAGGUCAAAUAAAUAAUAGCAGAAGAAAAGGGAAAAAAAUACAAAGAAAAAUGAAAGAUGGGUUUUGUUUGUUUUCUUGGGCUAGGGUUUUGACUGUGGUCGUCAAGUCAAAGGGUAUGACCCAUCUGAUUUACGACACGUGUAUAGGCUGAUUAGAAGAUGUGAGUGUAGGAGAAUAACCGGCAGUGGGCAAGAGAAAAGAGCACAGUGAGUAUGGUUGUCGGUUCAAAGGUCAGCUUUUGAAAUGAUUGGAAGCCUAGACUGGGGACUCUCGGGGAAAUAUUAAUAUCUGCAGAUACAGACUGCAUCUCAUUUUCAUUACCCUUCAUGCACAUUCCCACUUAUGAUUAAAUCUGGGCCAUUAGUUGUUGACUCGUGAUCAGGUGGGGGUCAAGAUGGGAAAGUUAAGGUGCAAAAUGCAGUGACCUAAUUGUAGUAAGUUAUCUGUGUUUUAAGAGAAUUUAAUGCUAUUUCACCUGUUAGCUAUAGCAGGAACAAAAUAAGGAAUUGUAACGCUUGCUUGCAUUUAAUGUUAAAGACGGAGAAAAAACCAUUAUUGGUAAGUUACAAAUUAUCAGAGUAUAUGGGGACAAGACCCAUUUAUUAUGUACCAUAUAGUAGCUCUUUUCCUCUGUGCAACUCCUUUUUUCUUUAUAUAUAUACAUAUACAUAUUUAAUGUAGUGUAAUCCAUUUUGCUGUUAAUCAAGAGUUAUUAAUCCAUCACUAUAUGUACUUAAUCGGUGUCUCUGGAGUGGUCUUCACCCUAGCCCUUCAUUACUCACUUCUAAUAUAGUUGAAUUGUCUUAGUGUUGUUGAGAUAAGCAAUUAUAUUUUGUGUUCAAAACAUUUGACAAUAGAAAACUUAUUUAAUUACAGGUGUGUGUGAAUGUAAUACGAAUUAUAGUUUUGCAUAUUAAAACUAGAGAGAAGGAAAAGGUGGAAGAAAAUGGUCUUAGACCGUUGAAUUUCAACAUAAUUGUGGCAAAUUUGACUCCUGAAAGUUCCAACAUUUAUCAAAACUUGGUAUUUGGUCAAUUUGCUUGCUCAAGGGGUUGGCUUUAGGUUAAAUUAGUUGGAUUUGAAUUGGUAGUCUGUUUUUUUUUUCUUUUAAUUAUGAACGAGGAUUUGAAUCUUAAUGACCUUUAUAGAAAUCUCAUUACUGUCUAGAUAUCAAAAUUGAUGAAAUUUAAAAAUUCAUCUUAGGGUUUGAGACUACAUGCAAUUACUAACAAUUUGCUUCCCAUUACUUUGAAGUUUAAUCUAAACUCUAGAUAUGCAUGUUGAUUUUCCUCCAUUAUCUGCAAUUAUUCACAUCAUAAUAAAUAGCUAUAUAUUUAACAUGCAACGAUUUUUUUAAAAUAAUAUUCGUGUAGUUAUAGUGUGAUGUUUCUGAGAAAAUAGACAUUUUCUUUCAGGGAAAAAUAAAGGAAAAUUUGUUUCAUUGAAUAAUCAAAUUAAAUGUGGUCCUGUAUUGCAUCUCAAGGGUAUGGAGAUGCAAUACGAGGAAUACAUAUGUUUUAGGUGAAGAGGAUGGAGGAACGGUUGGGGCAUAUUUAUGUCAUUGCCCAAACACAUAUUUAAUAUUUCACAGAAACAUUUAUGGUGGACUCAACUGAUUUGAUAGGAUUUUGUAGAGAAAUUUUCUUUUCUUUUCUUUUUUUGUUUUUUGGAUACUUACCAAUAAGAAUUAAUUAUUAUUGAGGUUGACACAAGAUGGUCAAGAUUCAAGGAUGCUGUAUUUUCUUAAACCAGUCAAAAUGGCAUUAGAAAUGUGUAAUAGGGUUUGACCAUUAGCUAAAUUCAGCUAAAAUAAAUUAAAUUAACAGUAUAAUAUGUUAAUUUAUUAUUAUUUUUUUCAUAUAAGAAAUAAAUAUAUAAAAGCAACUUCCAGUUUGGUCAUACUAAGUUAUAAUUAGAUGGUACGUAUUAAGAGUGAAUUAGUUGAACAAUAAAAAUCAAUGUGAAAUGAAAAUAUGUUACUCCCUCUCAAACUAUUUAUAUUUUGAUGUUAUUCUUUCUACCAACAAUCUUAAUUAUACCCUCACUUCUACUUUUCUCUUUGAAAAAUUAUAUAUUUUAAUAUAUUACCUUACUUAACAUUUAGCACCACAAGCUUAAGUCUAAUAAAUCAAACAUUAUAUAAAAAGAAUAAUUGAAAUUAACUAUCAAAUAUAAUAACUCAUUUAGCAGGAAUAAUAAAAUUUAAAAUUAAUUAGAUUUAAAAAAAAAAUGCGUGAAGAAAAUGAUACAUGAAAAUCUAUCAAAAGAUUGCAUCCUAAUUAUUGCAUGUCCCCCUUAGACAUUGUUUGGUCGAAACCAGCAAUUUAAUUACAACCAACCAAGAACAGGAUUUUUUCUUGACAUCCCACUUAGGUUUUAGUUUUAGAAAUAAUUCAACACAAAGGAUAUUCUUGAUCUUUCAUGAUGCAACUUGCAGUCAUGUUCUUUUCCUAUUUGAUGAUGCAAUUCUCUUCUUUAUAGUGGAACUUUUGAAAUGGUAAUUCUUUUUCUUUUCUUCUCACUAUAUACUAAUUUUAUUUAAUAUCUUUUCCCAAAAUCAUGUAAAGUUUUCAUAUGUAAUAUUUUGUGAUUUCCAGGAAACAUAGAACAAAUAUAGUGGGAAGAAAUCUCAACCCAAUGAAAACCAUACCAUACUUUACCUACUACCAUUCUUUGUGGCAUUCCACAUCAUUAAUAAUUUAUCAAAUCAAUAUAAUAAUUAUAUUAUAAGAAAAAUUAAUGUCAUGUCUCUUUCAUUUUUUUCUCAAUAAUUGUAUUAAAAGAGAAAGCAUCUUCUUUUUCUUUAUCUCUUCAAAAUUUAAUUGCAUUUAUUUUUUCCUCCUUUUUCAAUUCCAGAUGAAGUGAUAUCUAUACAUACUUUUUUUUUUUUUCUGUUGUCAAAAGAGUGAUAAAAAUUAUUUAGAAAGAAUAACACCAACAUGUUGUUUGGUAAGUCGAUUCAUUUUUGCGUCACCAUGUUUUGGAGUUGUCUUAAUCGGAUACAAGUUGACAUCUAAGUUUAGAGAAUAAAUGGAAAAUCUAUUAGGAUAAAUCAUAAAAAGUAAAAUAUGGUCUUGUAACAAUUCAUUAAUUAUAAUACUAAUUAAGUGAAACACUUCUUCACAUAAUUUAAAUUGGAGGACCAUCAAUCAAUAACCAUUGAUUAACAAUAUUUUCUCUCUCCAAAUUUGACAGUUCACUUUUAAUUUACUUAUGAAGUAAGAGUUUAGAUUUUUGUUAAUUAACACCAUUAGUUUUUAUCUUUCUUUUCCCUAAAAUACUUUUAUUAAUUUUUUUUAUAAAAGCUACAGUUUCUAAAUUAAAAAUUGAAAAUUAUGACAUGUAAUUACACUUAUAUCAGUUAAUACAAGACAUUUUUUAUAAUUGCUAUUAGUCUGAGACAUGCGCCAUCAGUUUAAGAAUAAUAUGCUUUAUUAAUUACUUAUUAGUCAAUAAAGCAACCGAAGAGGUCCUUGGAGUUCAUAAUUGAUGAUUAUCACAUUGAUGUCGUGAUUAUUGAACUUACGGAAAAAUAUAAAUACGUGUUACUGAUUUUUCUUGCUUUUAUUUUGGAAAGAGGGUCUUAAAUUUCAAAUUACAUAUUUAACUUCUUCUUUUUAAAAAAAAAAAAAAAAAAAAGAUAAAGGCUAGAAAUCUAUAAUUUUCACACAAAAAAAAAUUGUUGACUCCUUUAGAAAAAUAUGAUUGACAAUAAGUCUCCUUGAAGGUUUUUUUUUUUUUUUUUGUGUGUGUGUCAAUUUAGUCUACGAUAAACGGUCUAAUACGGAAGAAAAAUAGAUAAUAGAUAAGAAGAAGAUGUCCGAAAAAGAAGUAACUUUUUCUUAGAAUGGCAAGCUUUUGAAAUAAUGGAGCGCAUAGACAAAUCGAUUUACACAUUGAAAGAGAACACCUGAUAGCAUACACGUAAAGAUUUAAAACUAAUUACAUAAAAUGUCUUGGGGUUAUUUGGUUGUCUACUUGUAAAAGUUCCAAAGUUGGACGUGUUGGAUUUAGAAAAUUUUUAGAAUGGAUGAUAUUUAGAGAAAUUCUCAAUUUCGCCAAGAAGAAAAAACCGAAAAACUAGUGGGAGCUAGAGCGAAUAAUAUCUCAUAUAAUUUGAUUUAUAAUUAUUAUAAAUAAUAUAAUAAUAUAAACACUUUAAUAGAUAUGUGGUUCAAAAAUAAAUCAAAUAGAAGCUGACAAACAUAUAACAACCUGCCUCAAAGCAUUCUAACGAAAACAAAAAGCGAAUAGAAAAUGGCAAAAAUAGAAUGUUUAGAUAAGGAGUGGCUUUCGGGCAAGCUUCUAUGACAAAUCUCUAAGAUAUUGAGGAUGUAUGAAUGAAUCAAAAUGCAAGAGAUAGAUAGUUGGUAAUUUAUAUAUAAAAGUUGGUACUUUUUAAUUGUUUGGAUGUCAAAUUGUAAAACUUCUAAAAGAAAUUUUUUUUGAAAUGUGCAAGAACUCCAAAAUUAAACUACUGAAUUUAGACAAAUUUCGAGAUGAAUCACCUUUUAAAAAGUUUUCAAACUCAUCGAAAAGAUAACAACAUAAAGCUAGACAAAAUCAAAAUAAAUAAUAUCUUAUAUAAUCUAAUUGAAAUUAAAACAGAUAACAUCUCAUACAAUGUCAUUUGAUAGAGUAAAUUUUUAUUCGAUCAAUUUUGACUUUUAAUUAUAAAUUAAACACCAUGCUCAGUUAGCUCCAUACAGAUUGUUUCUAUUCAGAUUCUCUUGCAGAUAGGCAUAAUGCUAGAGGUUGUUUAAUUGGAGAUGCAAAUUUAUUAAACCCCAAUAAUUCAAUAUAUAUUAUUUUUAUUUAGCUGAUAAUCUUUUUGGUUUAGGAAUAAGUGGAAUAUUGUGAACUUUCUCAUACUAUAUAAUAACUCCAGAUAAUUAAAAGAUAAAACUAUCAUACUAUAUAAUAAAUUCAGAUAAUUAAAGAUAAAAUUAUGUAAAAUGACAUUGAGGAAUUUAUAUUGCUUAAAAAUUAUGUUUGAGUUAAAAGAAUUCUUUUAAUAAAUAGCAUAAUAAUGUAAUAAUUAAUGCAUUUAUCCUUCAAUAUAUACAGUUGUUGGCAAUGCAGAUUUUCAGUUUCAUUUUGAUUAUUUUUAAAAUUGUAAGUCAUCAAAUUUCCUGUUUCUUUCUUUUUGAGUUUAGAAAUAUGAAUUCUCAUGAAAAUUAGCAAAAAAGCUUUGCUCAUAACAGAGGAUAAGGAUCAAUAAUUUUUAUGUGCACUUUUUUACUUUUUGGGUUGAUCUUCAUCCAAAAUAAAGAAACCUUAAUUUUAUUUUCUCGGACACAAUUUUCUUUCGCUUAUGUUAUUUGUUUGGUACAUUCCUCGAGAAAAUAUAAUAAUAAUAAUAAUAAUUCUGCACGAGGUGUUGAAUAGAAGAGAGUUGCCGUGGCGAAGCUUUUGUAAGGUGUCAGAAUCAUGCAGGUCAGACAACAGAGAGCCGCACGCUACACACGCACGCAGCUAAAAUUAAUCUCAUUUGUAUAUAAGAUUUACAAACUUGAAAGUUUAUCCAUCUCUAAUAUCUUUACUGACAUAUUAAUAAAAAGAUAAAUAAAAACUUUUAAUUUUGUUUCUUUAGUUUAUAGAAUAUUUAAUAAGUUAUAAAGAAGAUAUCUCCUAUACUCAACAUAAAAAUGACAUAUCUCAAAUAUUCUACUUUUAUAUUUUAUUACUUUUAUAUUUUAUAUAUUUUAAUAUGUUACAUUAUGUCAAUAAGUAAUAUAUUUUAAGUACUGGAAUUAAUAAUAUUAAAUAUAAAACAACAAAAUGAAACCAAUUAGAAAUUUAAUUUAAUAAGAUAAAUUUUAUAUACUAUAUUUAUAAACCAUCAUAAAUAAAAAAUAAUAAGUAAAUACAUAUUUUAUAUUAUAAAAUAAUUAAUUAAUUUAAAAUUAAUAAAAAAUAUAUAUAUUAAUUAUUUAUCUAUCUAACAUACAAAUUAAAAUACACAGCUAGCUAAGAAUUUCAAUAAAAGAAUAAAUAAACUAUCAAAAAGCGUGGGGGCAUUGGGAGUGGGACCUGGUAACAAUGAUUAGUUUAUGGACAUCUCAUGAAACAAUGAGACACGAUGUGGGACCAACGAUUGAUGAUUGGGUAGGGAACCAAGUGUGGGCCCCAUAUUGUCUCUUGGCCCUUUGCUAUUGCUUUGGUUUCUUCUUUCUUCUUCAUCGGUUAUUUUUUCUAUUGAUUCAUGUUUCUAUGUCUUGUAAUGUCAGUGGAUGGCAACUGGGGCCCAUCAUCUUUUUCUAAUAUUUUAUCACUUGUUUCCAAAAGAAAUAAUUAAUAAUAAAAACUUGGAAAAGGAAAAGGCGAGGCAAAGCGGAUGGUGUGUAAAAAUUCUCAGGAGCGAUGGAAUUGAUUAGAUUAGAUUGGAUUAGGAUUGUUUUGUUUAACUGUGACUAGUGUUUGUUUGAUUAGCACUUAUGCCUUUACCAGGAGAGUUUGCUAAUUUUCUCUAUCAAUCAUUCAUUUAUUGACACACUCAUGUUGUUGCCGACAGGAUGUUCCCAAAAUUUCAUAACAUCUAAAUACUAUUAUUAUUAUAUAUUAUUAUUACUAUUAUUAUUAUAGUUUGGAUGAUACUAUUAUCAAAUCUUUUUCAUAUUUUAAGAAAUCAAUCACUCGGAUGAAUACUAAAUAUAAUCCAUCUUAUACUUUUGAAAAAAGAAAAAGCAAUUGAACUCGGAUUGACAAUAUAACAAAAUCUUUACUCAAAUUAAUGAAAAAAAGAUAUUAAUAGUCACUUCCAUUGCUCAAUUACAAUUUUAAUAUUAUUUUUUUAAUAUUUGAUAAAAUAUUAACCCACUUUCCUUUUUUUUUUUAAAAAAAAAAAAAAAAACUAUUCUAGCUGCCUUAUAAAGCUAGUUCAUUUCAUUUGAUCUCAUUAAUGUUUGUUGUUAGUUGAUCAUGGAAAAGCAUUCAACUUUUUUAAAAAGAAAAAACGAAGAUCAAGGUGAAAGUUCCUAUUUUCAACUGCUGAUGCUUUUCUUAAUCAAAUCAUAUUACUGGGUUCAAAUACUCCUAUGACUACGAUUGUAGAGGACCACAGAGAUUUAAAGAAUAUUUCCCUUGUAAAUUCAUUGAAUGCUUUGAUUAGUCGGAAUUAUUUAAAUAAACAAACUGAGAGUCAUCUCAGGCAAACUCCUUUGUGUCUUCUGAAUGGAUGAUAAAUUAAAUAUGGAAACAUUCGGGGAAUAUGAUCUUUUUAUAUGCAAGAAUUCAGAACCAAAAUGCCAGAUCAUUCCUUUACCUAACUCCAUCUUCAAUCUAUGGAAGUCUCCUUUGCUUUCUUACAUCAGCCUACCACUUUCAGCAGAAGGUCCUGUUUUAUUUAUUGGGCAGGAAACAUUUAAAUAUAGCAGUAAGCAACACAUGAAGUAAGACUCGGCAGCAUUCUUUUUUCUUUGGUCUGACGCAGGCACCAGGAAACAAAGUUCUAAGCUGUAAUAUACUUGCCGCUCGAACUAGAAAAGGAAUUCUCUUUGAAACUAUCAUUACAACAUUUACAUAAGAGGUACAAAUUACAAGAAUAAUUGCCUGAAGCAAAAUCACAGAAGUUUCCAACUAAAGAGAAAAUAUACAAAGCUGAUCAAGAAAUGAGGAGGAUACCAAAGUUCUUGAUUCAUCAUACAUGCAACAAGUGUCGUCUGCAACAUGGACUUGGAGUUGUCUCACAGGCUCACAGCUACAUAUCAAUCUCCAAGAAGACAAAGUGGUUGCCGCAUGCUAAGCUCUGCCUUGAGUUCCGGAAAUCGCUCUAAAUCAUGAGAAUCACCUAGAACUUUCUGCAUAUAGGCAAAUUAUUCUUAAGAAUCGCACAAGGAUUAUUUAUAAAGUAAGUUAUUUAGAAAGUAAACGAGAUAUCAAUUAGAUUGGCAGUUCUGGUUAAAGAAGGCCCUAGGAUUUUACAGGAGAAUCAUUUAGAAGUUUGUACUCUGGUAAUUAAGGCAAAGAUAUGAAUGCCAACAAUGAACAAAAUCAAGAAGCUCCCAGUGACAGAGAAGUUAUGCAUCUCAAUCAGUACAGUUGAUAUCAGCCCUGGUUUAUAUUCAAAGAUUGCACUAGAAUGAAAAGACUUAAAAAUCUGUUUACCAAGCUCCUUUGGUUAAAGCAAGACAAAAUGACUGCUAAGCCGCAAUCAAGUCUUUGCCAGCCAACAAAAUUAGCAUCCUCUGCAAUAAAUUGAAGUACACACAAAGAGAAGAGAGAGAAUACACUUCUCCUUUAGUAAAUAUUCAGACAUCAGGCUUCCUUGAGUAUACCUGGGCUGAGGCCCUAAAAUUUUCAAGAAGAAGAGGAUAUUAAGGAAACCAUUCUUUUGCUCCUGCAUCCUGUAUAUGCAUCUAGCAAAAGAACGCCCUCAGAUAUCCUGUAUAUCAAUGAAAAUGAGCUAGCGAAUACCCAUGUAUCCUGUGUAUCCAUGAAUAAAGCUAGCAUACCUAAAGAUAUGUUGGUUGAAGACCAAGAAAUCAAUAAGCUUUGGCCAACUUUAGGACCAUGAACUCCACCAAGGACUCAAGAAACGUAAAAUGCAUUGCAGGAGUAAAAGAUAAGCCCUUUGGCUCUAGAAUUUGGUAGAGACAGAUAAAAGUAAAAUGUUCUUAAACAGUGAGUGAGAAAGAGAAAAAGGGAGUUCUAUGGUAGCUUAUAUACAAUGCUCUUACAAAAAGUAUUACUGUUCUCAUACCAUCAUUUCCUAAAAGUGAUUGAUUAAAGUUCCAGAUCUUGAUUAUCAUGUCAUGGUCUUUUCUUUGUAUGCCAUAUGUUCAUUGACGCAAAAGAUUAGAUUUUUUCUUCUUAUAAUCUUUAUAAGGAAUUCUUUGGUUACUCAAGGUAAAAAGAGAGUAUUCAACUUCAACAUUGUAUCCUAGGCUCUCUUCCCAUUUCACGUUCAUGAAUGCCUGCACAAUGAAAUGGGCACUACAAAACAAGUAGAUGUAUACCUCCUCCGAAACAUGCAUGCUAACAUGUGACAUAAUUUGCUAAAGAAGAAGUAUCUCAAUUUCGGGCAAAGAAUUGUUAACAAGAAGAUACUUACCAACGCAGCAUCAUGUGCUUCUUGCAAAAUUUUCCCAACUAUCUCUAACCUUGCAAUAGGAAAGUCUGGAAGGUGUCCUGAUUGCUUUUUGCCAAGCAAGUCACCAGGUCCACGUAGAAGAAGAUCAGCAUUUGCCAGGUGAAAACCAUCCGAUGACUUCUCUAGGACCUUUAAACGGUUAAGGCUACUGCUUGUGGAUCCUAAUAAUAUGCAUUUGGACUUCCUUUCUCCACGUCCAACUCGUCCUCUCAGUUGAUGUAACUGAGCAAUUCCAAAUCUCUCAGCAUUCAUGACAACCAUCAUGGAUGCAUCUGGAACAUCUACACCAACUUCAAUUACUUGGGUCGAAAGAAGAAUCUGGGUUUCUCCAGAUCUAAAUCGUCUCAAUGCUUCAUCCUUUUCAUCACUCUUCAUUCUACCAUGUAGCAAUCCGCAAUUGAAACGUUGGAACCUGUCUGAUAUGGCUUGAAGAUCAGCAGAAGCAGCACGAAGCUGAGGCAGCUGCUCAGAUUGUUCAAUGACUGGGUACACAAGAUAUACUCUUCCUCCAGCUUCUAAUUCAUCUAAUAUCAUCUGCACGAUUGAUAUCCAUGCUCAUGAAACACUCAUUAGACAUACCUCAGCAUCAAAUAAAGUUGAGAAACAGAGAGAGAGGAUGUGAAGUGAUUGGCAACAUACCAUUUCUGUACAUUAAAAAUUGUCUUAAUCCAUAUUACACCCCUAAACUUUUACUAAUUAAUCACUUGUAAUGUCUAAAUAUUGUCUAUUUAGGUCCCUUUUUCAUGAAAUUGAGUUUCUUUUGUUUAAUAACAGCUGAGAAAUUGCUUUGAGUGGGGCAUAAGACUGGGUUUUUUUGGCUUUUGCUGUUUGGCAGCAGGAACUUGCAGAGUGUUGGACCAUGUGGGUUGAUUUUCUUUUCUUCUGUUGUUUGGUUGUGGUUUUUUGUUCAUUCAUGUUCGGUUUUUGGGCUGUAUUAGCAGAGUGUUAGUGCAUCUGUGUUUUAUGCAGCAACACACUCCCACCACAUGUUUAAAAGUAAUGAAAAUUGCAAGUUCAGGUGGGUGACAGGUUAAAGUUAUAGGUUAGUUGUGCAAUAGACCCACCAGUAAAAGUUAAUCAUAUAUAUGCAUUUACCCUUUAAAAAUAUCACAUCUAUGUUAAACAGCCAGCAAAAUCAGUGAAUUAACCGUGCAUAUGCACAUACUUAUAUUCCAGCAGGCAAAUUUUUGGAGAAAAACGAAGGCAAAAUGAACAUGAUCUGUAUACUAGAAAAGUACCUACUAUAUUGAUUCCCCUCUUUUCUCAAUUUCUCAUAUAAAAGAUUGUGUAUAUUUGUGAAAAAGUGAAUUGACACCCAUUAAGACUACUUUUUUAAGAUUAGCUAAGAAUUCAGAUGGUAUGGCAGCAUUUAUUUAAACCCACUGAUGUGUAGGGAAUUGGGUGGAUACAAUUAAGGUGUAGAUGUAGAGAAACAAAAGGAGGAUUAUUGACAAGGCAUAAUCUAAUUUUAAAUCAGCAUUACACAAAAAAAACUUUGCCCUAAACAGAAUGACGUCAAGAACAAGGAUUCAUGAAGUGUCCCAUCAAUUUUGGGUCUGACAUGUAACUGAAUAACAUGAGAUAACGAGCUUUAACUUCACUACUUAACCGAAAGCAACUUGACAAGGCAGUUUCAUGAAGAUUUUUCUUCACUCUGUUCUGCUUAAAGCCUACACUGAUGCUAGCAAACCAAAUUAGAGAAUGAUAUUCCAGAUAAGCAUUAUAGCUAUUUAGUUCAUUAAAGGAAUGAAUAUCAAGAAUAGUAAGAAAUCUAGCACCUGAUUCAUAUUUCAUAAGGGAAUCAAGUAUCAGAAAAUCAGGAAUGGAAAUAGAGAUAAACUAUAUUACCAUUCCUUAUUCUUUAUAAUGGAACAAGAAAUCAAGGAUUCAAAAAUCUAGGAUUUAGUACUCUCUCUUUUAAGAAAUAUGUGUUUCGUCCACCGGACCAAGCCCAAGAAAAAUGGAGGUUAAGUACUUCAGACAGGUUACAAGAAAGAACCUUACCUUGUAUAUAUCCUCAAAACCUUGGCUAUUUCCUUCAAUGAUGUGUGUUUCAACCGGAAUUCUUCCAGGAGGUAAGUCAGUUAUCUGAGAUAAAGAAACAAGAAAUAUUAUCAUAUUUAAUAGUCAGAACCCAAAGCUCCUAAUAGUCAGAUGUGAAGUCUUUUUUUCCUUUUGAGGUGAAGAUGUGAAGCCAAUUUAUUUGGGAAUAAAUGCAGAAAAUAGCCAAUCUUCAAAACAUUAAUCAUAGACUCAUAAGGAAGUCCUAAUUCCUCAAAAUUCUGUACUUUUAACCAAUUACUACAUAGAGCAACCAAAGAGAAAAAAAGGUACGCACUUGUGUUAAGGACAUGUCCCCAUACAAUGCCAAUGCUAGCGUCCUUGGGAUGGGAGUGGCUGACAUAGCAAGAAUAUGAGGGGCCAUAUACACAUCACCUUUUGAGGAUCCAAUUGAAGUUGUUACUGCCAUUCUCGAACGUAAAGAAGUAUAAUACAACUGCAGGGAUCAAAUGCUUCGGUUAUUUAAAUCUUACAAAUACUUGCAGAAAGAUAAUGAAGCCAUAAGUUGUGAGGAUCGCUGCAUUAAUGAUGGCUGAAAAUAAAUGGCAGGAAGUAUAGGUGCUCUGCAGAGAAAUAGAAGGGAAAAUCCUAGAAGCAUGAACUAUAUUGAACUGUCUAAAUUUUUUAUAGGUCAUAAUCAGAAAGAACAUUCAGAUACUUGGUAGAUAUUCAUGUCCAUUAAUACUCUAUAACAAUAACACCAAUUAUACCAGCACAGCCAACUAGAUAGUAGAAUAUGUUGGUGUCAAUUAUCAAUAGCUACAUGAAUUACAGAAAAAGAUGCAACCAAAGGAAAAAGGUGGAAAUUCCUUACCCGGCCAGCACCGCAUAAAACCAAGUAGACCAGACACGAUGUAUUAUUUACUAUAAAAAUUACAAAAGACCAUAAAAAAUUGGAAAUGAGAAAGAAACAAAAUAAAAUCAGAACUACGAAGGAGGCCCCAAAUAACCAAAACUGACUCACACAACCUGAAAAUGACUUAAUCCAAUGGGCAAUCCAAACCCACACAACCUGAAUGGAACAGAGCAUUUCUCACCUUUUAAGGAGAACUUCAGUACAGAGACAUAAGACUAAAACUGUGCAAAUACUUUUGGAGUUAAAAAGCAUUGAGUUGAGGCAAUUAGAUACUUUUGCAAAGCAACAGAACUCCAAAGGAACAUAAUGGAUAAACUAAUUAUUCAAACAACUAUAUUUUUUCACGGAGUUCGAGGAUACAUCUGUUGAUUUAUGGAGCAAUAAACCCACAAAUUAAGGUCUGGAAGUAAAAUAAAAAUACCAGCCAGAAAUGCACAACAAUACAGUACACUAAUAAGACAGUCACCAUAAAAUGUCAUCAUGCAAGGCACAUUUUGUUGACAACCUUACUGUUAAAUUGUCCUCUUUGGAUGACACCAAAUCGAUGUUGCUCAUCCACCACAGCUAUGCGUAAAGCAGAGAAUUCUACAUUUUCAGAUAUUAAACUGUGGGUUCCAAUGACCAUGGAGAUAUCUCCACUUUGAAGAUCCUGUAAACCAAUUAAGUAAACGGAGAAAAUUAUUUAACUUUUAAGGAUCUAAAUAACAACAAAUAGAAUUCCUUUAUUUAAAAUGCAUGCCUUACGAAUCAUCCGCGACUGUUUUAAUGGUGUUGAACCUGUUAGUAGAGCAAUGGAAGGCUUUGAUUGAUUUUCCUCCAUAGUCUCUAGCAAUUUAAGCAAGUGCUCGUAAUGCUGGAUAGCAAGCAACUCAGUUGGAACCAUGAAAGCUGCCUGCAGAAGACAGUCAACCAUAAUGUGCAUUAAAUAUUAAUUCCAUACACAGAUAAAGGAUUUAAAUCAGCUAACCAAAGCAGAGAAAAUCAUGGAAACGUCCACUAUUUGUCACACAAAUAAUGAACUUAAUGCCGAAAAGUACAUUGAGGGCAUUACAUAGUUCUUUUGACCAAAUAGAACGAUAUUAAGCUAUUCAUAAAGCAGCAAACCUGAUAACCUGAGCCAAUAACUUCCAUGCAUGCCAAAAAAGCUACGACCGUUUUCCCACAUCCAACAUCACCCUGAAAACAAAUGUAAGAUAUUAGUAAAUUUUUUACAAUCUAUAUGCCCAAAUGCACACAUGCUAUGAAGUUCAUCAAAGACUCUAGUACCCUCACUGCUGCCUGCCCUAGUUUUUAAACUUCCAGUACUUGAGAGCUGUCUUGACUAGAAUAAAAAUCAUAUCAAUUAUCUCUGCACAGCAAUCAGUUUCCUACAAGAAAGGAAGACAGUCUACAAAAAGUCUUCCAUUUUUCUCAAGUAUCCUAACUGCCAACUACUUAUUACUUGAUUUGGUUUCAUGCUGAUAAUGCAAUCGGCAUUUAUGCCUUUGAGGCUCAAUCGGAAGAUUUGGCAUAUGUCAAAUGAAAUCAGGCAUAUAAAUCCAUUCCAUUGCUUCACAAAAAUCUUCUUCUAUUAUUUUUCUUUUUUGCGGUUCUUCAUUGUGUUAAAUAAGAAAAUUGUAUGAUAAAAAGCAGAGGGAAGAGAUCCAAAAUUUCCUAAAAGCCUUCUAUAGAUAUUAGAAAGCCACAAGUUAAUGAUAUUUCUUCACUGCUUCUUUGCACUCAUUACUUGAAACAAUAGCAGUCUAAAAAGAAACAGCACUAGCAGGCAAAAACAAGACCUCAUCCAUAUCUUAUGCUGGUUAGUUGAGGAUGUGAAAUACAUAGAUAUAUACAGGAGAAGCAGCAACUAAAGAGAAUAACAAUAACUAAUUCAAGCAUUCUACAAGAAGCACAACCUGGACCAUAAGCAGCGAGUCUUGCUUAAAGUUUUGAUAACAAAUGCAUGCCACCAGAUUACCAACUGUCCUAUCAUAUGUUUUUUAAACCAACUAUAGUUGCUAGAGAAAAAGAAGGUAUCUGGUAAAUGGCAAGUGGCAACACAAGUUUUAGAUAUUGAUGCAGGUUUAAAAGCAAAAUAUAAACCUGCCAACUAUUACAAAAACAUUGUGUACUGCUAAUGAUGAAAGAAUAAGAGCAUUAUUGUACAAUCCACACCUGCAAAAGUCGAUUCAUAGGGACAGGUCGCUUUAGAUCCCAUAUAAUCUCUGACACAGCAUUGAGCUGACUAGAAGUUAGGGAAUAUGGAAGAGCCUUCAAAAAUUUCUUGGUAAGACUGGACCAAUUCUCCACAUAAAGAGCAUUUAGUUCAGGUUUUCUAUACUUCAACAGUAAUCCAUCUUUCUCCGUUCGAGUACUAAGACCUUCAAGCAUUUGGAACAAGCGUCCUAACUGCAAAUACAAAUAUACUUUAAGAAUCGGAAGAAGACCACUGAUAAAAGUAAAGAUUAAACCACAAUUAAUUAGCAAAUAUGAUAAGAACCCAUACAUGAACUAUGAAAAUAAGCAAGCGUCAACUAAAGCAGUUAGUAAAUAUGAAAUGAGAAAAUUUUGGUGGCUGAUCAGGUAUAAAUGUUUUAUAUUAAACUGUAUAAAACCUACCAUCAGUUCCAUGCACGGUUCUAAAUCAUCAUUAUGGCACAUCCUAGUUCUAGUUGCAAGCCAUAGGAACAGGGCUUGUAAUGAUAUUUUUUAAUAACAAAAGCAAUUCGCACCAUAAAUUUUCAGAAUUUGUGAUAAAGCAGAAUACUAACACUUCAAAUGAAUUCUGGAUUCAGAGUAAGGCUAUGUUAUAUUGCAGGCAAAGAUCCAGAAAUUUGUAUUGGUGGAGGCAAUAUACACUUGUAUUAUAUACAAGACAUGUAUGUGUACACACACAAACACAUAUAUAUGAUCCAAGAUUGAUCUUAUUCUUAAACUCGUCAAAAUCCGAGCCGAGCUUGAGAAACAAAUAUUCAGCUCGGUAUGUUCAUGAGCUUUUAGGCUCGUUAUAUAUUAUAUGUAAUAAUAAAAUAAAUAUAUAUGUUUCCAAUAUUUUAUUCAUCGAUAAUAAAUAUAAAGUGAAACAAAUCUUUCGAUUUUUCUUGUUUAAAUACAUGAUUAUAUUUUUUAAAAUUUUUUUAUUAAAUAAAGAAUUUCUUAAUUUUACUUUCAGUAAAGUAAGGUACUUUUUACUUUUAAGAAAAUUUUACUUUAAACUUAUUAGUUAUUACUUUUUGUUUUUAAUAAUUAGUUCAAUAUUAAUAAAAUUUAUUGUUAUAUUUAUUCUAAUUUAUAUACAAAAAAGAGUGAAAUCUUUUCAAAAUUUUAAUACUUCGAACGGUUCGAGCUUGAUUCAGAUUCGGCUAGUUUUUCAACUUGUUCGAGUUUUGUUACAGCAUGUAUAUAGGAUAAGAUUGUAAACCCUAAAUAGGAGUCCACCUUGUAUAAUAUUCCUAUCAUGUUUAGGAGUCUUCCUACUUGUGUGUAUAUAUAUGUGUUAUUAGUGUGAAUAAAGCAUUCGUUUUUAUUCCCUCAAAUCUGUGAUUACAUGGUAUCAGAGCAAGGAAUAAACCCUAGAAAUUAAAAUGGGAUUUCGAAAAUUGCUCUUAGUUUAGCAAUAGGGUGUGCUAGUUUCGAAUUAUCUCUUUAGAGGUUUAGUCUUUAGUCACCGCCUGCACUAGGAGGAGCGCCACCCGCCGAUCGUCUAAUCUGGAAAGUCCAGUUGCCGGAACCCUAGUGUGUGAGUCUCACAUGCCCAAACAAGUUUCUGCACAUUUGUUCACGUGCCGGUGAGUGGAGGCGUGUGGGUCACUGAACUUUUGUCCGGUCAACUUUGUCAAGGUCGCCUCAUCCUCUACGGUCCAUAUUUGUGGUUGGUUUUGUGAAAAUACAGACGACUGAAGGGAUUUCUUUGAUACAGGUUCUGAUUUCUUUUAUUUUUGCUGUGCUUGGUCAACUUUUUGCCUGAGUUAUUUAAAAUAUAGCCGAUAAGAAGUAAAUAAUUACACAUGAGAUUGUUCCUAUAGGAACAAAAAUAACAUAACAUAAACUUAAUGAUUCUAACUAUUUUGAUUGGAGUAAAUCUAUGCAUCUUUAUUUGCGAAUCAUUGAUAUGGAUCACCAUAUGACUGAUGAUCCACCGAAAGAUGAAUAUAAACAAACUUGGCUAUGCGAAGAUGCUUGUUUAUUUCUACAAAUUAAGAACUCUAUCAAUAGUGAGAUUGUGGGUCUGAUUAAUCAUUGUGAUUUUGUGAAGGAUUUACUAGAAUACUUAGAGUUUGUAUACUCUGGGAAGGGGAAUAUUAAUCGCAAAAAUGAUGUGUGUGAAGCUUUUUAUCAAGCUGAAAAACAAGACAAGUCUCUCAUGAGCUAUUUCAUGGAUUUCAAGAAGACAUGAGGAGCUUAACAUGUUAUUACCAUUUAGCUCGAAUGUGAAAGUUCAACAAGGCUAAAGGGAAAAGAUAGCUCUCAUGAGUUUUCUGGCCGGGCUUCCCUCUAAAUUUGAGAUUGUCAAAUUUCAGAUUCUUUCUAGUCCAGAGAUUACUUUUCUUCAAGAAGAGAAGCCUUUUGUAGAGUACUUCGCGCAGAAAAUCUCCACCUACUCAACCCAAUAAUGCUCUUGUUGGACGAAGUAACAUGGAUGGUAAAAGUAGUAAAGGAAGAGGAUCAAGUAAUGCAUCAAGCAAUGUUGAUACUCAGAAACAGGAUUGAAGUGGAAUUCAGAGGCAGGUUCGAGUGGGAUUGUAUGUCACUAUUGUCAUAAGCCAAGUCAUAUGAAACGUGAUUGCAGGAGAUUAUUGAAUAAGAGGAAUCAAUCUGCACAAAUUGCAUCUACUCAUGAUACAUCUGAGAAGUCUGUUCUUAUAUCUGCAGAUGAGUUUGCUAAAUUCCAGCAAUACUAAGAAUCAUUGAAGUCUUCAUCUACUCCUGUCACUGCUAUUGCCGAGUCAGGUAAAACAAACACAUGUCUUGUUUCCUUAUCCUCCAACUAGGUCAUAGAUUUUGGUGCCACGGAUCAUAUCACAGGUAAUUCUAGCCUAUUUUCUACCUUUAAACGCUAUACAUCAUCUUCUAAAGUUACUUUAGCAGAUGGGUCAACAUUUUCUGUACUUGGUUCUGGCACAGUGAACCCUACUCCAUCACUUCCUUUGACAUUUGUUUUGAGUCUACCUCAGUUUUCUUUUAAUUUGAUAUCUGUCAGCAAACUUACUCAUGAUCAUAAUUGUUGUGUCUCAUUUUAUCUUGAUUAUUGCUUGUUUCAGGAUCUUAUGACGAAAAAGAUUAUUGGUAAUGGACAUGAAUCUAAAGGUCUUUACAUCCUUGAUAAUCAAGUGCCAAAGCCUAUAGCGUGCUCUAAAGGAGUAACCCCACUUGAAGCACGUUAUCGGUUGAAUCAUCCUUCUCUUUCUUUGUUAAAGAAAAUGUGUCCUCAGUUUCACAAUUUAUCUUCUUUAAAAUAUUAGUCAUGUCAAUAUGUGAAACAUCAUCGUCUUAGUAUUAGUCCUAUAAUCAAUAAACGUGCUAAUGUUCCUUUUGAGUUAGUACAUUCAGAUGUUUGGAGUCCUUGUCCAGUUGUGUCCAAAGCUGGGUGUAAAUACUUUGUUACCUUUGUUGAUGACUAUUCUCGUUUCACUUGGUUAUAUUUAAUAAAAAGUCGUUUUGAGUUAUUUACUCAUUUUUGUGCUUUUUGUACUGAAGUCAAAAUGCAAUUUAAUGUUUCUGUCCACAUACUAAGAAGUGAUAAUGCUAAAAAAUAUUUAUCACAAUCUUUUCAGUCUUACAUGACUAAACAAGGAAUUCUUCAUCAAACUUUGUGUGUGGAUACACCAUCACAUAAUGGGGUAACAGAAAGAAAAAAUAGACACCUUGAAACUGCAAGAGCUUUAUUUCAAAUGAAUGUUCUAAAACAAUUCUGGGCUAAUGUAGUUUCAACAGCUUGCUUUCUGAUUAACCGCAUGCCUUCAACUGUUCUUGGUGGUGAGACUCCUUAUGAUACUCUUCUUCCAAAUAAAUCAUUAUUUCUAAUUAAACGUAGAAUAUUUGUUUUUAUUUGUUUUAUUCGUGAUACUCAUCCUCAAAUCACAAAACUUGAUCCUAAGUCUUUCAAGUACAUCUUUCUUGGCUAUUCUUGUGCUUAGAAAGGGUAUAGGUGUUAUUUUCCUAGUCUUAAUAGGUAUCUAGUGUCAGUUGAUGUCACUUUCUUACAGAAUACGUCAUUCUUCCCGUCUUCCACUAUAUCACAUAAAGGGGAGGUUGAUGAUGAUGUGUUGGUCUACACUAUCACACAUCUUGUUUAUGUGUUGCAGGUGUUUCUGUUCCUCGUCCACCAAUGGCAGACUUCUUCUGAUACAUGUCCUGAACCAGAUCCUUCGCCAUCAGAUCCGAUGUCAAGUGAUGAUCUUCCCAUUGCUCUUCGCAAAGGUAAACAUCAGUGCACUUAUCAUGUUUCUUCAUUUGUGUCUUACAACCAUUUGUCACCUGCUACUUGUUCCUCUAUUGCAUCUCUCAAUUCUAUUUCUAUUCCUAAAUUUGUCCAAGAAGCCCUAGCCCAUCCUGGAUGGUGUAAUGCUAUAACAGAGGAGAUGAAUGCUUUGUAUGGUAAUGGCACUUGGAACUUAGUAGAUUUACCUGCAGGGAAGAAGGCUAUUGGGUGUAAAUGGAUUUUUGCAGUGAAAGUGAAUCUUGAUGGAUCAAUUGCUCGUUUGAAAGCUCGUGUUGUAGCAAAGGGAUACGACCAAAUUUAUGAAGUUGAUUAUUCUGAUACUUUUUCACCUGUUGCUAAGUUGACUUCUGUUAGGUUAUUCAUAUCUAUAGCAGCCAUUCACAAUUGGCCUGUCCAUCAAUUAGACAUUAAGAAUGCUUUUCUUCAUAUAGAUGUUGAAGAGAAGGUGUACAUGGAGCAACCUCCUAGUUUUGUUGCUCAAGGGGAGUAUGGGAAAGUCUGUCGUCUUUGAAAGUCUUUGUAUGGCUUAAAGCAGAGUCCACGAGCCUGGUUUGGCAAGUUCAGUCAAGCAGUUGAGCAAUUUGGAAUGAAGAAAAGCAAAUUUGACCAUUUUGUUUUCUAUAAACAGUUUGAGGGUGGCAUUAUUUUGCUAGUUGUGUAUGUGGAUGACAUUGUGAUUACUGGAAGCAAUGUUUCAGAAAUUUCAUCUCUUAAGUCCUUUCUUCACAGUUAGUUUCAUACAAAGGAUUUAAGGAUAUUAAAGUACUUUUUGGGUAUCGAGGUAAUAAGGAGUAAGAAAGGAAUUAUGUUAUCUCAACGGAAAUAUAUACUUGACUUGUUAUCUGAAACAGGUAAGUUGGGGGCUAAACCAUGUAGCACUCCGAUGGUGCCUUGUUUGCAACUCACAAGAGAUGGUAAAUUAUUUGAAGACCCCGAGAGAUACAGAAGAUUGGUUGGAAAGUUAAAUUAUUUAACAGUGACUUGUCCAGACAUCGCAUAUUUUGUCAGUGUGGUAAGCCAAUACAUGUCAUUGCCCAAUGGUUGACCAUUGGAAAGCAGUAGAACAAAUCUUAUGUUAUUUGAAGGGGGCUCUAGGACGAGGUAUUAAAUAUAAAAAUAAUGGGCAUUUUAGAAUUAAGCGUUUUUCAGAUGCUGAUUAGGCAAGAUCUAAGGAAGCUCGAAGAUCUACUUCAGGAUAUUGUGUCUUUGUUGGUGGAAAUCCAGUUUCAUGGAGUAAGAAGCAGCGUGUAGUCUCGCAUUCUAGUGUAGAAUUAGACUAUUGAGUUGUGGCUCAGUCUACAUGUGAAAUAACAUGGAUUCAUCAGCUUCUGUUCGAACUCAAUUUUAAGGUUAAAGUACCAGCAAAGUUGUGGUGUGAUAAUCAAGCAGCUCUUCAUAUCGCUUUGAAUCUGGUGUUUCAUGAAUGAACUAAGCACAUUGUAGUUGAUUGUCAUUUUAUUCGUGAGAAGAUACAACAAGGACUAGUUUCCACAGAAUACGUGAAAACUGGAGAGCAAUUAAAAGAAAUUUUCACUAAAGCUCUAAACGGAGAGCGAGUUGAUUAUCUGUGUAACAAACUGGGCAUGAUUAACACCUAUGCUCCAGCUUGAGUGGGAGUGUUACAGCAUGUAUAUAGGAUAAGAUUGUAAACCCUAAAUAGGAGUCCACCUUGUAUAACAUUCCUAUCAUGUUUAAGAGUCUUCCUACUUGUGUAUAUAUAUAUAUGUCUCAUUAGUGUGAAUAAAGCAUUCGUUUUUAUUCCCUUAAAUCUGUGAUUACAAGUUUGUUCAAAGUAUCUCGAAUUCAAGCCGAUCUCAAUCACUAAUAUAACUUCACCGAGCUAAACAUGAUCAAUAACAUGUUGGGAUCAGCUCAGCUUGUUUUCACUCUUAGUUCCUGUUAGAAGUUGUAUUUAUCCCACAUUACUUGAUUAUUGGCCUAUUAUAAUGUAUAUAAAUAGAUUGGGCACUCUCUUCCUUUGAGCUAGCUUUUCGAAUAAGUCCUACCCAAGCUUAUUUAUCAUGGUAUCGGAGUCGGCCUUUUGUUUGCGAUGAUGGGUUUGGACCCGGCCCGUUUGCAUGUCACGCUAAGCAUGGGUAGAAGUUGUAUAUAUCCCACAUCGCUUGGUUAUUGGGCUGUUAUAAUGUAUAUAAGUGGAUUGGGCAUCAUUUUCCUUUAAGCUAGCAUUUGGAAUGAGUUCUAUCCAAGCCCAUUUAUUAGCUCCCUUUAUGAUAAUAUAAAAUAUAUACAAGACCUAUUAUAUUUAGUUACUAAUUUUAUCUAAUUUCUAACUUUUUAAGCCUACAAGUUCAAAUCAAAUCAACAUAAAUGAAUGUUUAUAAUAUAUUUCUAAUUUGAACAUCUAAUAAUUUAUAAAACACUAACUAGUUUCAAGUCAAUCUCAUAUUAAAUAUAAAACUGCUAAGCAAUCUAUAUUUCAUUUAAGUGCAAGAACAAUUUCAAAUUGUGAACUUUAAGUGUGGGGGCAAGCUUGAACUUUGAUUGCGGGGGCAAAUAUAAGCAAUUAAUUAGAAAAAUUCUUUUUUGCUAUAUGUAAAAGGAAAGGGACACUUGGGGCAAUAGGGGCAAGCCCAUGCUAGAUCUGUCUCUAUUAUAUUGUGAUUGAAUAUUAGAAAUUAAUUCCCACUUAUAUUGCAAGCUUUUCAGCUAGGGUAGUGAAUUAUAAUGCAUAAGACCUGUAAGAAAAUUAGUGCAAUCGAUGUUAAAUUAUGAACAUAAUGGCAGUUUACAGCCAUUACCAUGAGGUAAUAAUAAACAUUACAAGUGUGCUUCCAUAACAGUCGUUGCAUAAUGUGAUGCAAUGAAGUGCUUCUAAAUUAAUCAAAACUGGCAUAGCUAGGGCUUAAGAAGGGAUGUUGUCAGGCAACCAAAAUGUAUCAUAUAGACUUCAAAAUGGUAAAUGGGACUGAUAAAGAUUAAAGAAAAACGGACUACUCGCACAACAAUUUAAAGCAACAAUUACCACCUGUAGAUAAAAGAACUCGUCAAAUAUAAGCCUUCUACGAGCUGAAUCAGCUUCCUCCACGUUUCUUGGUUGGUGAAUCCCGGUAUAUGCCUACAUGUGCAAGAAUUUAAGAUCCAGUUAUGCAAGUAAUAAUGCAAAAGAAUGUCCAUACACGACUUUUUUCACGCAUACAAAACAACACAUAGAUGUAAACUGCCACAUUUUCAUGCUUCAAACUUUUAAUUACAUGAUCAUAAUUUACAAUAACUCCAUAAACAAAGGUUGUUACAGCCAAAGCAAGAAUCUCCAUAUCUAGAGAUAAGAAAAGGAGGAAAUAUAGCUUUAGAGAAAAUUGAAACAUGUGCUCUUCAGAAAAUAUUUAUUACCUCAUGGUAAUUGGAGGAAUGAACUAUAGACUGAGCAACGACAAAAGCAACAAUUAACAUCAAAACUCAUAAAACACAUUUGACAAGAUGAAUCAGUAAAAUUAUGCGUGAUGUCAUUGGGAAAGAAUCACUAUCAGUCUUAUUUUACUCUCUUUACCAAUACAACCAUGUCAACCAAUCUUGAUACAAUUAAAAUCUCAACAUUCAGAAUCAUAAUAUUUAUCUUUGAAAAAUCAUCUAAGGCUAACUGUCAAUUUCUCUUAACAUGUUCUUAAAGCAUGAGCCGGAAAAAAAUUAUUCAAGGUAUGAAGAAAUAAGGAUUCAUCAGGACAAAGUUAUGCUUAGAGAAAAAUUACUUACAUCAUGAAGAUGUAAGAGUCUGAAGUCCUGAAUGAUUUCUUUUGGAAUAGGAUCAAUACCAGGACCCAAGGCUUGUAGAGCUCUGGAAGACAUAAAAGAAUAUCUAAAAUAUCAUUGCACAACCCCAUAUUUAGAAACAAGAAGCACUAAGUCUUAGCCAAUUUAACAAUCAAAAAACUCCCUGCGAUCAUCUUCAAAAUGUAGGUACAGAUGAAAGGAAAAAAAGAAUAGGCGGGUCGCUCACAAUUGUCAAACUUAAACAGCCAAUUAACCAAGCUUUUCAAGUCAGUUAGGCAGAUGCCGAAUAAAAUCAGGGACUAAAGCCCAAUUAGUGUCAGGUACCUAGAUAAAACUUACACUUAGGCCAUAUAACGAAAAUAGCAUGGGUGAAACAUAAUGAAUAACCUUGCUGCUCUUUCUUAAUAAAACCGACAUAGCCAUUCGACAUCAUUAAAAACAAUUACAUUUUCAGGCUAAAGAUUAACAUUAGAUCAAUGCCGAUGAGGUUUCGAACAUGCCAAUAAGAGUAUUACCAUUCCAUAACCAAUGGAUAAUAUGUUAGGAAAGAAAAACUCAAUCAUAUGCAUUCUUGAAUCAAAUCUUAGAUUUGAAAGCAUUUCGUUCAAAAAGUAUCAAAGGUACAAGGCUUUUAGGAGCUCUCUCUAAUUUCUCCGUCUCACACCUUAUGUACACGUUAUUAUAAGAAACGGUUAGGAAAAUACUCAAGGAAUUCUAGGAAUGCUUUGUUGCAUCACUGUGUUCAGCAUGUCACAGAUUAGAAAGACGCAUAAUUCAAUAAGACCUAUGCAGCAUUUGCAUGACCCGCAGAAUGUUACUAAGCAAUAAUGUUAAAAGUGGAGACUUUUGGUUUAAUUUCCACAAACUUCUUUGAAUAUCCUUCUGUUCAAAAUCACAACUUUGGAAAACAUAAGCCUAAAGAAAAUCUAAAAUCAUUUACCUAGGGGUCUAGAAACCAAAUAAGCGAUUCCACAAACACUGCUUACAUUUAGAAAAUGAAAUGUAGAUUGAAACGAAAUUUGGCACAUGAAAGCCAUUAGAUAUAAGAGAAUCAUCAGCAUCUAUGACCAGGAGAAGGACCCAAUAUUUUCUAUCCUAACUCACAGAAGCAUAGAGAACAUUAGUCCUCAUUUAUGAAUAACAUCCUUGUAGUAUCCCAGUUAGAUAGAGUAACAGAUACAAAAGCAAACAACAAAAAGGGGAAUUCACAAGAGAGAAUUAGCACAUAAAGCCAAAAGAUAUGACAACCAACAUACAAGAAAACAGAAGGAUUAACUUCAUUUUCUGCUAAGGUAAAAAUCCUUGAAGGAUAAAGAGUUAAUCCCAAUACUAGAAGAUCUUAAAAGUGAGAGCACUGUAAGACAUCAUAAUCUAAACUACCAAAACCAAUGAAGCACAAACUCAUUAUAUUGCAAUCUACAAUACUAAAAAGGAAAUAAGGCACAGACCUUGCAAUAAUGUCUCGAAGAAAAUCAGGAUUUAAGCCUCCUUUUGAAGGAUAUAUAGGAUAUGGUCUCCCUUCUGGAUGAAGUGAUGAAACAUCAUCAUCCUUUAGCACAUCAAUAUUAUAUUCCCUCAUUUCAUAGUGAUCUUUGGUACUCAUAGUCUUAACCUACACAGAGAAACAACACCUAAGAAAUCUGCUCAAAACAAAUGACGGUAUAAAACCAAAAACUAAUCAUUGCAUACGUGAAAAAGAAAAUUUACCCAUCUAUAAGAGUUAUUUUACAUAAUGCCAUAUCCACUACUGGAUCAUGAAGGAAAUAACAGCUAAUGAAAAUUUUUACUACCUCAAAAUGACCUUAAGUUGAAUUUUAUACGAAUACCAUACAUGGAAAGAAAACUUAAUUAAAACUGUUAAAAGGAAGAAUAAUUAUUGAAACUGCACGCAAACAGAGAAAAAAAUAACUUAUGUUACCUUUAAGAGACCCAGUUUAUAAACAAUCAACAAUAAAAGCUGGUUUACAGAGCAGAUGUUUCUCUUUUCUAUUAAACAUUGAACAACUUAUAAUGAAUGAAUUGAACCAAUUAAUAAAAUGUAGCCCACAACUUCCAAGGGAGCAAUAACUCGCAUAAAAGCAUCGAAAACUUGCCUGGUAUUCUCUGUAUGCCACCACUUUCAUCAAACAUCAGAAUAUCAGCCAGAUGAGAAGUUUAGGGUUAUGGCCAUCAGUGCUAUACAAAGAGAGGUAUUUUGGUCAAAAGGAAAGUGUGUCUGUUAGCUAGCAAUUUCUUUUCUAUUUGGCGAUCCUGAUACUUACUAUGAAAUCUUCUUAUUUAGGGAUCUCCAUUUUAUAUUCCAAUUCUAAGAGGACAAAUGGGAAGACUUUUACUCUUGAUAAGAAAUUACAUAAUCUAGCUAUUCUUCUAGUCCUAGGCCUCUAAGUGACGAAGGAAUGAGAACCUGAGUUCAGUUUGUUAGAGGAUUAUUUGCUGCGUGCUCCUAUUUUCAGCUGCUACAAGUUUUCAGCUACCAUUAUAGCAUUGUAUACAGACACAAAACCCAGUUCAUUCCUUACUCCAAUAGCCACAGAUCUUAAUCCUACCCUUAUAACAACUUCCGCAUUUUAACUCCCUUUUCUAACUUAAUAAACCUCUAAUACCAGUUUUACGGGGGAAAAAAAGAAAAAGAAAAAAGAAACAGCCAAGAUGUUCCUGAUUUGAUUCUUUGAUUCUAGACCACUGAGCCAACUUUGGCUCAAACAUCAUUUAAAUCACUUACAGUCCAAUCAACAGUAUCCUGGAACCCAAACCUUCAAAUUCUGAAUUGUGAAUUCCCUAUUCCAUCGAAGCCUAAUCCACGACAAAAACAUAUAUUGACAUAUAUCAACCGUGUCCUAUAUCAUGAAUACAGAGACUAUCAAACAGCAAGCAAACUGAAUUUACUUUUUAACUUCUCUAUGAAAAAGUUCCUAUGGGGGGCCAAUAUUCUUAGCUUCCAGCGCUGGACAUGAUCAUAAUCAGUGUUAAUUACUGAAAUGUUAUCAUGGGAGGAGACCAUUCAAUUAAUAAUCAGGCCUCUUUCCAACAAAAAUAAGUAUAUAAAAUUAGUAGUGAAAGCCAAAUUUUUAAGAACCACAUUUGGUACUUUCAUUUAUAAUGGAACAAGGUGGUUUUCUUGAUUUCUUCAUUGGUUCGUGCAUAAGGGGCUUGUUGUUGAAUAGGAGUGCUUUUAAGUGAUAUUCAGCGUGAUUUGAGGGAACUACUUCUCUAGGAUUGUCUUUCUGUGUUUAUUAUAUUCUUCUGUUGAUUAGGACACUGAGGAAGUGGAAUACAUUAUUCUCCAGUUAUAAGCUUUUUUUCUUUCUCCAAUUAUAAAAUAUCAUUUAGUGUUGAAUAGAUUUUGAGGUAAACUUGGGGAAACUUGAAUUAAGGUAAAUAAAUCACAAGGAUUACUUGGAUCUAACUAGUUCAAUACCCAAGUAGAGUAAAAAUCACCAGUAGAAAUUCAAUCCAUCCAAAUCUAUUAUAGAGAUGUUCCUUGAAAAGAAAAAUUAAAAGGACAUACCUCAACAAACAAGAAGAGUACUGAAAUAGAUAGCUGAUGCAAAGAAGAAGAGGCCAAUGGCUAUAUAUAUAUAUAUAUAUAUAUAUAUAUAUAUAUAUAUAUAUAUAAGGAGUAAAGACAAUGCCCUAAAAGCUAUUGACAGUAGGAAAUUCGCAUAUCAUGACAUCAUGAAAAAAGCUUCUCCCUAGCUCAAGUUACAAACUAGCUAUGGAACAAUCCAUGUUCAUAUCAAUCCACAACAAAGAGAAAGUAACAGCCAACAAUGGAGAAACCAGCUCACCUUACCACUAAUGCAAACAACAUCUCCCAACUUAUGCUUGUUUGCAAGACUUUUCAGAAAAGGUUGAUUAGUGAAACGAACACCACGAAAAAAUUUCUUGAGAUGCAGAUAAAUGGUUCUCGUUUCUCCACUAUCAGUGUCAAUAGUAUUAUGCUGAGAUUCAUCAAUUGCAACCUCACAACCCACAACUACUUCAAGAAAUGAAAAGGAAUAACUGGCUCUAACUCCCCUACAGAAGAAAUGGUAAACAAUAUCAAUAUCAAAACACAAACUCUCUACUUACAAUGGAUUGUAUCAAUGGUUACUGGAAGCAAAGUUAUACACUUGUAGAGAUAAUAUAGAUGCAUACAAGCAUGAGUAAGUUCAUGCACAUGGAGAAAGAACACUAUGUAUGGCCAAAAUACAUAAAUAUAUGUUGAUAUUGGUGAAUAUAAAUAACAAUAACAAUAACAAAAUCCCAAGACCUCAACAUUUUGAAUGUUUACAUACCACAAUAAAAAAAAUGUGUUCACAACAGAGGGUCAAGAGUUUAAAUCCAGAGGCUAGAAAACAAGAAAAAAAGCAUUCUUAGGAAGAUAAAAAAGGUUGGGAACAGAAAGCAAAGAACAGAAAACUACAAUAAAAUGACAUCAAUAUCCACAACUAGAUGCCACAUCACUAAUAGCCUAUACCAAAUAAGCCAGAAGCUAGGGCUAAAAACAAGCAUACAUUAGUCCUCCAUCAUUUCAAGAUUUGAAUUUAUUGAUAUUCAGUGAUAUCAGAUGGUUGUGCACUAAAAUGCAUUUUACUAAAUUCAGAAGCUAGAUACUUAUUAAAGGGGCAAGUGUCAGCAAGGCUUGCAGUAUCUCCACCUUCUCCCUCUAGCAAGCAAAAGGAGUACAUUAACUAUCAAUCAUAAUCAUAUUAGCAUAUAUUGAACAUAACUCUUACAAAACGAUUAGAUCAUUAUUCUUGCAUCAAGUAGAUUGUUGUUGUCAGAAAGAACAUUACUUCUGAUAAAUUAUUGUACACCAACUAUCCAAGAGCUGAAUUCAUAAAUAUUUUCCAAGACCAUUAACCAUAUCCAAGUAAUGUCCCCAAGUGUCAGUAGUUGAAGGUUAGGUGUCUAUGAGGUCUCAUGUUCAACUCCCAUUGGAGGGUUGCUGGAAAUGGAGGUGUACGAGACUCAAAGAUUGACCAAAACGAAAAGCUAUAUCAAAGUUCUCCCUUCACAAGAACCUAAUUUAUUACCUAAGCAAAUACACAAAGAACUUCUUAGAAGACGAAACAAAGUUUCACAAAUUCCCUACAAAAUUUGAGUAGCCUUUUUAUUCACCCCAAGAAGAAGAUGGUGACUAAAAUCUUCAAGGAGAAAUAAUCUAAUACCUAGAAGAUAAAAUUUUCCCAACAGAAAUCAAGUACUGUCCAUCAUCAACUCCAACUAGUGCAUUCUGCAAAUCAGCAUAUGUGCGAGGAAAAUGGUGCAGCAGCUUUCGUAACUGGACAGCAAGCAACAGAAACAGAGUGAACCAGUGCCUCUUUCACAUAUAAAUACCAAAAAGGAAUUUUCUUUUCAAAUAACCUCGGAUAAGCCUACCGUGUGAAAUCCACAGUUUUCCAGCUGAUGGUGUUGUCUCUUGCUUAAUCCAGGAAUGCAACUGACAGGUGUAUCAAGAAAUGCAGCACUUAGUAGUGAUUCACCCACCUUUUUGUUAGAAGUCUCCUGCAUGCUAAAUAUAUUAUCUAUUUUUUCUUUUGUUUCUGCAGUCACGUCCUCAGAAUGUACAGAUAAGCUGUUGACACUUUCCUCUUUCAGUUCUUCUAAUAAAUAUGUUUUCUCUUCUCUUGAUUCUGUAGUCAUGCAUGCACUCUCAUCUUUUUCUGCUUUUGGUAUGGAGUAGUUCUCACUUGGAACGGCAUCUGCUGAAGUCCACUGUUCAUAAAAACCAUCAGAGUCAACCCAUUUCAUACCCAGAGCAUCUGAGACAAAUUCUUUAUAACUUUCAGCAGCUAGAAGGGUCUUCAUUUCCAGGGGCUUUGUAGUCUCAUCGUAUAAUUCCACAGGAGGAGAACUACCCAAAGUUAUGGAAGGAAAUCUUUUACAAGCCAAAGAAACAUCAAAAUCAUCAGUAGCAUCUUUGAGAUCCUGACCAGAUUGCUCUCCAGCUUUCCCAUUCUCAAUCAAAUCAUGAAAACCAUCAUAAUCCACCAGCGCCGUUACCUGUAAGAAAGCAUAGACUGCACUUAAGGAAUCUCCAUAAUGAUGAACUAGAGAGUAUCUUGGAGCAUUUAGUUAAAGCCGCCCUUUAUAUUCCAAGAGAACCUUGAAGCACAUAAAUGAAGCAGCCAUCAUAUUAUUCACAUAUAGCACAUAAAUUACCUUGUUAAGCAACUUUGACCGGUCAGAUACACUUGGCAUGUCAUACUUAUAUGCUUGAUCCAACAGCUUCUCUGCAAAAUUAUGCUUGAAUCGUAUAUGUAGUCUUGAUAUAUUUAAUAACGAAUGACAGAACCUGCAGCAAGUAAAGAUUUCACUAGAAUGAAAAUGACUCCGGAUUCCAUCCUUUAAGCAAGAAACCAAAAGAUUACUCUAAGUACCUCAUUCUUCUACCAAAAGCAUUUCGAAUUACCCUUCAGAUUGAGCCNNNNNNNNNNNNNNNNNNNNNNNNNNNNNNNNNNNNNNNNNNNNNNNNNNNNNNNNNNNNNAAUUGUUUCCCACUGCUACACUGAAAUAAAAUCUUUAUUCGUUUUAGUAAAAUCUUGCACAAUUGAAGUGUUAAAUCUGAUAUGCAUGAAUCCAAUAUAGUAAUCUUACAAAUACAUCAGCCAUUCAAAAGAUAGAAAUACUAAAGUGUAAUCAAGAUAAGGAGGAUAAGUUAGAAGAAGACAAUGACUUAAAAUUGUGAUUCAAAUGUUUCUUCAAGCUUAACUGCAAGCACUUUUAUACACAAAGCAUCGAUCACUAUGUUUUCUUUUCCAAUACAACUUUUUCAUAACACCCGUGCAUUCCCAAGCAAAAGCUCUUUAAGUUUUUUUUUAUAAUAUCCUAUUUCAAAGUUCUUUAGAGACAAGUAAAUGAAAUCCAAUUGUAUUCUUAGAGUAAUACAUAAAAAUAGAUGUCAUUUCUACUAAAACUGAAAUUAUUUAACUAUAAGAACAUCUUUAAGAAAAAUCACUUAGAUUUUUGAACUAGCCUUCACUCCCUUGGACCUUUGACAAUGUUUGGUUCAUGGAAUAGCCAAGGUAACUAUUUUAAGAUCUUGUUCAAACAAAGAAAAGUUAUAUCAUGAAAUUUUUAUUAUUUAAUUUUGCAGAAUACCUAUCCCAUAGUAAACUGAAGAAUGACUAUUCUGCACCUUAAGAACUAGCAUCCUUAAGUACCUAUCCUAAAUUCACUUGAUGUCAUCUUAUUUUAUCCACCAUCACCCCCCGCCACCAACUACCGCUGCCGAUACCAACUGCCACCGCCUCCAAACCAACCACUACCACCACCACCACCAGACACACACACACACACACACACACACAUAUAUAUAAUAUUUAGUUACAAUAUUAUCUACAAAUAGUCAAUCCAAGCCCAUGAAUCAAAAGAGAGAAAUAAGAAUUGUCUGGGAAUAGCUAUUUUAUUCCUAUUUAUUCUAUUCAUUGGGAAUUGUUAUUCUAUUCCAUGAAUCAAAGAUGUACUAUAAGUUGGAAGAAUUCCAGGCCUAACUUAUCUAUUCAGCUCCUAUUUUAUAAUUUUUCCUCUUGAAGAGCAAUACAUGAGCUAUAAAAAAUAUACAAAAAAGAAAAUGAAUCGUAAGUUUCACUAAUAUGAGAAUUGGACAAAAUUUCUGGAGUAAGAAGCAAACAUAAAGAGUCGAAAUAAAUUACAUACUAAAAAUAUUCAAAUAGAAUACGUACAUGGCCAAAUGCGUGUACAUCUGAUAUUCUCAGUGCCAUGUGAAACUAAAACAACCUCACAGCAGCAUGAGUUGGACAUUCCUAUAACAGCACAAUAUGUCAACAAAACCUGCAAAGGAGAAACCACAGCAAUCAGGCCAAAUUUUUUGAGCUCUGCGAAGGAUAAUUUCAAACAGCUUCCUGCUCUUGUGCUUAUCAAUUCUAAGAAAAAGCUAGAGUUGUGAACUUCAAUUCCUUGUGCUAGCGAAGAGUGAGUGCUGUGUAGAGAUUGUGGAAGCGACAAAGGUAAGAGUUUCUCGCUUCCGGCUUCGACAGGCGGGAGAGCUAUUAGAGUAAAGCCCAAAAACCCUUUCCUUGCGGCCCUGCCCAACUCAUUUUGAAAAAUAUCAGGAUUCGAGAACUAAACUUCAAUUCAAUUUAGAGCAAAUUAUUGAGACCCCCAUAGAUUAAUGAAAAUUUACUAGGUAGCCUACUGUUGUUCAAAACUAUAUUAUUACACCCUUUAAAUUUUACUUUAAUACUUGUAGUUAUUCACUCUCUAAAAUAAUUGGACACCUCCGAUCAAAUUACGCACAUAAAUUUGAGUUGACAUUGUUGUGCUUUUUUAUAAAUUUAAAUUGCAAAUAAAAAUUUUAUAAUAUUUUAAAUUUAAAUAACUCAUUUUUACUUUUGUUGUUUUUCCUAACUUUUAAUAUGCCAAGUAACAUAAAAAUAAUAAUACUAAGUAAGAAAUUGAAAGUACUUUUAUAGAUGCAGAUAUCAAUGAAUGAAAUGUUAAAGCCAUGGUGCUUUAAACAUGCAAAAAUAACAUAUAAUAAUAAGAUAAAGAAUUAUUUUANNNAUUAAAAAAUAAAAAUAUAUAUAUAUAUAUAUAUAUAUAUAUAUAUAUAUAUAUAUAUAUAUAUAUUCAAAUAAUUUUAAAUGUAGUGAAAAAUAUAUAAAUUAUUUGAGACAAAAAAUUAUGAUAAUGCUAUCAAUACAACUAAAAUAAUUACAAAAUUUCUAAUAUCCAUAAAAAAUAUAUUUUGUUUGAUCCUUAGUAUUACUAUUAUUGGGCAAUAAAAAAUAGUUUUUUUGAAAAAAAUAUGGAUAUAAUCAUUAAUGACUAUUAAUAAUUAUAUCUUGAUAUAAAAAAAAAUUAAAUAUUAAGAAAUACAUGUAAAUAUUUAUUCAUAACAAUCAUCAAUCAUUUUUUUUGACAAAACAGUAGAUUACAAUUAUACGUGAACGCUUCACUCGGUAGCACUAAACUAUAUAUUAACUUUAUAAGUUUCAUUUGACAAAUCUAAUUGUUUGAAUAUUGAAUUGAAUUUUUUAUUUUUCUCCAUUAUUUUCAUAGAAGGAGAAUUCAACACUUCCGUAAUUGUAGAUUUAAAACUCAUAUCGAAUAAAAGCUCGGUGUUCUUAUAAUGAAAGACCAUAAAACUAAAAAUAUAUUAAUAUUUAUUUAUUAAAAUUAAUUAAUAUAAAAUAACAUAAUGGGCACCGAAGAUCUAAAAAUGAUCAAAAUGAAUUUUUGAUAAAAAUAAAAAUUAAGAGAAAAACAAUAGAGACAACUAGUGUUUUAUUUAUUGCCUUUGGCAAUAGAAUAACAAUGGAAAGAUUACCUUUUCUGAAGGACUGUACGAGGUUUCUAUGAUAGUAUUUCACAUACAAUGUGUAAGACGACCUCAAACAAUAUCCUAAUAAAAUUCUACAAUUUCAGUUUGAAACUGAAAUUUCUAUUUGCUUUUCUAAAAAAAAAAAAAACAGUCAAAGCUAUUAUAUUUGUGAAAUGCUAUAAUAAGAAUUCAAUAACAUAAGUUAAUAUAAGAGGUAAGAUUUAAAUAAAUAAUUUUAAAUAUACAAAUAAAAGUAAAUAAUUAAAUUAUCCAAAGUUUAAUAAAUUGUAUAAAUAUAUUUUUAAAUGGAAGAAAAUUAAAAUCGUAAUAUGUAUAAAAAGUGAGAAGAGAUAGAAAAUAAAUAAAUCUAUUAAAAGAGUCUUAUAAUUAGUACUAUGAAGAGUUAUUGAUUUGAUCAUUUAUUAAUUAAAUAUAAUUUAAUAGGAUGGGUAAUAAAUAGUAAUAGUAUAUGAAUAAAAUUUAUAUAAGAAUAUAAAUCUAAAAUAUUGCAAAUACAAAAAUUACAAUAAAUAAUUAAAAUUAGAAUAAAUAUUAAAGUUUAGAAAAGAAUUUAAUCACCAUUUGAAAGUGAUGUUUUAAGAUAUAUGCGAACAUUAAAAAUUCAAAAUUUAUUUACUUAUACUUUCUCCUUUCUGCAUAUAUAGUAAUAAGCUAUAAAUAAUAAUAAUAACUAAUAAUUUAUUAAGAAUUUAUAGAAAGCAAAACUAAAAAAAAACGUAUAUUUUAUAUCUAUUAGAAAGAAUAAUAAUCAUUCAAUAAUUACUAUUUUAUUAAUUAUUUCUCUGAUUUUAAAAGAUUUUAUCACUAUAAUAGAUAAACAAUAAUUAUUAAUAAAUAACUUUUGGAAGAUCACGUUAAAUUAAGAUUAUAUUUAAAUAAUAAAUGCACCAAUCUAAUUUAUAAAAAUAAAUUUAAAUUUAAAUAAAUAUUUUUUCAUUUUAUUAAUAAUAAAAGUUUUUACUUUAAACUCAGUAGUUAUUUUAUUUUUUCUAUUGUAUGGAUAAUUAAAAGUCCAACUAUUAAUAUAAAGUUUAAUUUUAGAAGUUCCAUUCUAUUGAAAUUUUUAAUCACUAAAUAUAAUUAAGCAUAAUUUUAGAAGUCUAAAAAAAUUUAAAAAUAUAAAUUUAUAUAUAUUCAUUCUAUUUACGUUGCAUAUUUGGAUAAAUUAUAGUUUAAUUUAAAAUUACUUUUAUAAAAAAUUUAACUAUUACAUCAAUAUUUAUAUUAUAUUAACCAAUUAAGAUUCUUAUUUAAUUUUAAAAAGAUAUAGCAAACAUUAAUUGUUAUUUUAAUAAUAUAUAUAUCUAUUUUAUAUUUUACUUAAAUUUGAUAAUUUGAUUAAAGUAUUCAAUAUAUAAUUAGAUAAUUGGAAUUAGAGUUAGAUACAUGUUACAAUUUGAUUCAAACUGUAAAUACAUCAAUCUAUUUUAUGAUAAAAUUAGAAUUUAAAUAAAUAUUUUAAUUAUAAUUGUAAUAUUAAUUUUAUUUUGAAUCUAAUAAUUUAUUUAUUUUUUAUUAUAUGAAUAAUAAUAAAUUAAAUUAUUAAUAUUUACGAAGUAAAAAUCUAAUUGUAAAUAAAGUGAAAGAAAACAUUCAUCACCAAAAAUAAUAAUGUUUAUUCAUAUAAACUGCUGAAAGUUUUAUUUACAUUUAAAUUUAUUUAGUAUCAUUUAAAUAUGUUUAAUUUAUCAAAACUUUAGGAAAAUAAUUAAUUAUCAAAUUAUAUGAAAUAUUUCUCUUAUAAUAAUAUUUAUAAAAAUUAAGUGAUUAUAUUUUCAUUAUUUAGAAAUCUAUCACGAUGCUUAUUUUUAUUUAAAAUCAUUUGUUGAAUUAAUUUUUCUAAUUUAAUUUUUAUAUGUGUAAUACAUUUGAUUUUUUUUGUUUAAUAAUAAAGUAAUUAAUAUUUAGUAUGGGGAUGAAAUCAUAGAGACUUAUUAAUACUAAUAAAAGAAUUAAUAAUACCUUAAAUUGUAAGGGUACCAUUAAAAUAUUUUCUUUAUCAUUUAACGAAAAUGUUUCUUAGUUAAAUAAUCAAAAUUAAAAGAGUGUAAUAAUUUAUCAUUAAAACCCACUGGAAAAUUUUAAAAUUUAAUAUCUUUGCGUGACUUAAGUUAGAGCAACUUCUAAAUAUGAGGACCUAAUUAAUAGUAAAAGAAACUACAAAAUAAAUCACACUUGGUAUAAAGUUUUUAACGAAUAAAUGUUAGGGAUCGAAAAUGGUAACUAUAGAAUAGCAUGAACUAAAAUGUAUGUCAAGUAAACCUCAAGAGUGUUUUAGUAAUCUUUUCUAAAGGUAAACUGUGCUACUUCCCUGGUGUAUAAAUAUCGCACAAAACUGUCCUUAGGGUUUUAGGCAGAAGCUGAGCUAACAAGAGAAAAAGAAAAUCAAACAAUAUAGAGCUGCAAUGGCGGCGUUAAGAGUUUAAUCUUGUAUCAGUUUAUCUUUCUCUGUUCAGUUUUAUUAAGAUCGGGGCUGGGUUUAAAUGGGGGAGAGCAGCAUAAAACCAGUGGCUCUCAAAAACCGGUGGGUUCUCUACCGGAUGCCCUGCUUUUUUCCGGCCCCUAACAUCAAAGUCAAUGGCAUCAUAGUACGGGUUUUGUGUUUGAAGAUGGGUAUACACGUCUAAGUGAGACUUUGGUUUUUCUUGCCAAACCUUCCUUUUCCUAUACCCAUAUUUCUGCUCCUCACAAUCCCGCCUCCAAACGCCAUUACAUGAUCAUUUCUUUGUCAUAAAAAUUUAAUACUUUCCUUUUCAUGUCAUUUUCGCUGAUGAGGAGAACAUUGAGGCAUGAGUGACAACAACUAUAAAUUUGCGCACCAUGUUCCAGUACAUGGGUUGUUUGUUGCGAUGAGGAAUGUGCCAAAAUGCUAAUCUGAGGCUUUAAUUUUCAUUUUUCUUCUUAAUCUAAAAACUUUUGUUCAUUAAGUUUGCAUAAUUUAAUUUAAAAUCAUGUUUGUCUUUUUUUUAAAAAAAA
rnacentral:lncRNA from 1 species